UUCAAUCAUGGUGAAACAAGCGUGGAUUCGAAGGCAUCAAACGCAGGUAAGUGUCGUUUCCUCUUAUUUAUUUAUUUAUUUACAUUCGAUCAAAAAAAGGGUAAACGAGAAGGUCAGAGAGAAACAAGAGACAGGAAUUGCGAAUAAAUCACCUUUUUUCGUCUAUUGCUUUUCUAUUGCGUAUAUUGUCAGUGUUGGUAUUUGUAACCUUUACAACCAUUAAAGAUCCUGGCUUUAUAGCCGAAAAGAAGAAGGAAAAAUAAUAAAAAUAAAUCAAAAGAAUUCGACAUUUGUUCUUUGUUUUUUCUGCUCUAUGCUGCUGUUGCGUUUGUCUUGUUCGCAGGUACGGAGCAAGGCGCGUGUACGGGGGUCGUGUUGGCGCUUGGCAUGGGCGUACAAGGGCUGUUGACGUGGAGGCACGAUUGGCGAUUGGGCUGUACGGUGGCUGAAGGCUGCGGCUCCUCUGCUGCUAGGACUAGGGUUUGGUGAAAUUUGUUUAGCAUUUGGGCUGUUUGGGUUCAUUUCGAGUGUUGGGUUAGUCUUUGGGCAUGGGGUUUUAAUCAUUUGGUCUAGGUAUUGGGCUUGUAACAGGACAUUAAUUAAUGAACUUUGUUUUUGUUUAUUCAUUUUGUAUAUAAAUUUAUAUUUGGGGGUUUUAGCGGGCCCGGGCCAAAAUUGGUCACUACAGCUGCCCCUCUUUGCUCAUUGUCGUGCAACGAGAAUAGAGAAAAGACUAUUAAAAGGCCAAUUUUGCCUGGGUUGGUCGAGUCUUGACUCUUCUUAGUGCUUCUUUUCUUCAAGUAGCUUCGAUAUGCUCCACUGCAACUUCAGGGAGACAAGAUUUGCAACCAUCAGCCUACUCCACUACAACUUUAGGGAGCUAGGAUGGUGGCUUACAUCUGCUUCGCUGCAACUUCAGAAAGCCAAGAUUCGCCCUCUUUGAUCUGCUUCACUGACAAUACAAAGAUACCAAAUCUGCUAUCUUCGAUCUGUUCCCUGCCAAUACAGAGACGCCAAAUCUGCUAUCUUCGAUCUGCUAUCUGUCAACACAGAGAUGCCAAAUCUGCUAUCCUUGAUCUGCUCUCCGCCAAUAUAGAGACGCCAAAUCUGCUAUCAUCUAUCUGCUCCCUGCCAAUACAGAGACGCCAAAUUUGCUAUCUUCGAUCUACUUUUUGUCAACACAGAGAUGCCAAAUCUACCAUCCUUGAUCUGCUCUCCGCCAAUACAGAGACGCCAAAUCUGCUAUCUUCGAUCUGCUUUCUGCCAAUACAGAGAUACCAAAUUUACUAUCUUCGAUCUGCUCUCUGCCAACACAGAGAGGCCAAAUCUGCUAUCUUCGAUCUGCUCCCUGCCAAUACAGAGACGCUAAAUCUGUUAUCUUCGAUCUGCUCUCUGCCAAUACAGAGACACCAAAUCUACUAUCCUCGAUCUGCUCCUUGCCAAUACAGAGACGCCAAAUUUGUUAUCUUCGAUCUGCUCUCCGCCAAUAUAGAGACGCCAAAUCUGCUAUCUUCGAUCUGCCCUCUGACAAUACAGAGACGCCAAAUCUGCAGGAUUCGCCAAUGUCGCUACACUGUCUUCUAAAGACAUGAUGUGUAGAAUGGGUUUCCUGUAUCUGUGCAUGUCAAAUAACUAGGAUGCUAUGAUCGAGAUGAAUCAAAUGUCCCUAAGUAGAUAUGGUGUUUGUUUCAAAAAAUUAGAAUGCUAUGAUCGAAAUGAAUCAAGUGCUCCUAACUAAAUGAAUGAUUAUGGAUGUAGAAAUGUCAUGAGAGUGAUUCCUUUUUAAACGCUUAAGGUGCCAUUGCUCAUAAUUCGUCCGGGUUCUAUCAUUGAUGUGCUAUCGCGUCUUCUUGCUUAGCCGUUAGCUCUGACAGAAAAUUUGAAGAAAUAGUCCUAAUUUGGACUACUCUUUUUCCAAUGUUUUCCAACUUUGAACCUGGUUAGUCCUGACUAGUGGCCCUGUUUCAGGUCCUUGUACUAUUUAGAGACUUUCCAGAGUAAUAUGCAUAACAGCUUUUGUGUAAAUAUUACAUGUUCAAAAAUCGCGAUUUCAACAAAAAUGCUCGAAAGAGAUUGUCAUAAUGGACAAAUGGAAUUUUAUUAAGCAAAAUUUGAUGUGAAUACAUAGGAUAACGAAUCUAAUAAGGUGUAAAAAUGAGAAAAAGGUGCCCCAGAUAUCGCAGCAUGAGUUUCAUUAUUCUAAUUUCUCAAAGGCUCCUUCGAAACAAAUAUGUGUUCAGGAGAUCCCGCGUAUUUUGUUGAUGCUCCAAGGUGUAAUUUUUUUUGCCUUGCUGAUUUCGAGAGGACAAGACUACCAUAUGCCCUAUGUCCAAAACUUGACCUGCCCGUUUUCGGGUUUUCAACUCAAAAGCCCCUUUGGUUCCAAAGUGCCAUUUGCGAGUUUUCAACUUGGCCUCUCCGGCUUUUUUUUUUUAGAUUUUAGAGCGCCCUUUGCGAGUUUUCACUCUGGCCUCUCUUUCUUUAGGUAAAAUACUUCUUGACCGAAUCCGAGUUUACAGGAUUGGGCAAGUUUCUACUGUCCAUCUCGGUUAGAAUCAAUGCUCCUCCGGAGAAAGCUUUCUUCACCACGUAAGGCCCUUCCCAAUUAGGCAUCCAUUUCUCUCAAAAAUCCUUCUGUAUGGGAAGGAUCUUUUUCAAAACCAGGUCUCCUUCGUGGAAUUCUCUAGGGUAAACUUUUUGUCAUAAGCCCGCAUCAUUCGCCUUUGGUACAUCUGACCAUGACGGAUAGCUCUUAGCCUCCUUUCCUCAAUUAGGUUCAAUUGAUCAUAUCAAGACUGGAUCCACUCGGCUUCUUCUAACUUUAACUCCGACAAUACUCAAAGGGACGGGAUCUCGACUUCGAUCGGCAACACCGCUUCCAUUCUAUAAACCAAAGAGAAAGGGGUUGCCCCGGUUGAGGUUCUGACUGACAUUCGAUAAGCAAAGAAGGCAAAUAGUAACUUCUCAUGCCAAUCUUUGUAGGUCUUAGUUGAGUUGUGAUGUUUGAUCUUAAAUUGACUGCAGACUUCCGCUAUCGUGCUGUUGUUCAGGUUUAAUGCAUUGUCAGAUAUGAUCCUCUCCGGUAUUCCAUAUCGACAUAUGAUCUCUUUUUUCAAGAACCUGCUCACUGCUGACUUUGUAACACUAGUGUAGUGACGUAAAAAUUUUAGCUUAGCUUGGUCGCUAAUUGUGGCGAUUUAUUGAAAAUAAGUUUGAAAUUUGACGUUUGAUUUUUGAAAUAAACAGGGAGUCGCCACCGAUCCUUUUUCCUAGGUGUGGUCGGACACCUAUUAGAUCUCUUAUUAAAAUAAAUAAAAGGCUGAGUUUAGGUCUACGUUAAAAUUUAGAGAAAAUUUAGGGUUCGGGAGUCGGUUACGCGCGAGGAAGGUAUUAGCACCCUCGCGACGCCUAAAUUCUGUAUCUUAUAAACAAGUGUUGUCUUGAUUUUCAAAAAUACAAGUUCAAUAUAAGAUUAAAUCGUGAUCCAUUUGAAAAGACAAGAAUUUUCAAUCUUUUUGAUUUUUUUAGAAGGAUAUACCGUUUUAACACAAGUCGAUUGAUAUUCACCAAGCAUAACGAUGAAAUUGACGACUUAGUGUUAAACCGAUAUGUUGCCUUAUGCCUCGAAAUUAAUCGGAAAACAAGAAUAAGAUUUUCGAAAUAAUGCAAAGCAAAUUGAUAUGAAAUAGAAAUAAAUAAAAGUGCCAGGCAUAUAUUAAAGCAAAUAAUAAAUAGGAUAAUAAUAUUAAAAACAAUAAUCACGCAUGCGAUAUUAAACGUAAAUAAUGAUAAUAUUAAACAUAAACAGGUAAAUUUUUUUAUUUAUAUUUUUAUAUAUUUUAAAGUAUAUAGGUGAGAAAAUAAGCUUAAAAAAUGAAAAUAAAGUAGAAAAAAAGGAAAAUCACCUUCGUUCUUUGAUUUCGAUUUUUGUUCUCUGUUUCUCUGAUUUUGUGUUUGAUUUGGUGAUUAUUGUCUUCAAUAUUGAUGGAAUCGCUAUCUUUUUGCUUAAAAAACGAAUGCUUUUCUUUGUAUUAUUUUAGAGUUGCCGAAAAUAGGAGAAGAAGAAAAAAAAGAGCCUUUACAUUUGAUUUCAUGGCUCUUAUAGCCUUACAAUUUUAUUUUUUAUUACUUUUUGUCUCUUCAUUGCUGCUUGCAGGGUAUGGAGGUGCCAGGCAUGCGGGGAUGGUGGUGGCAGAAGCAUGGGCGAUGGCUAGGUAUGGGGGUGACCAGGGAUGGUGCUGGUGUCAGAGGAGUGGAGGAGAGCGGCUGAAAACUUUGGUGACUAGGGUUUGCUGUUGAAAAUUUUUUUAGAUAGUGGGCUUGGGUUGUUAGGGUUUGUAAAUUGGGUUUGGGUAUUGUAUUAUUGGGCUGAUCUGGUUUGUAAAAUGAACAUUUAUAUGGGUUAUUUGGAUAUUAUUUUCUGCUUGUUUACUUGGGCCAAAAAUUGGCCAUUACAGCUGCCCCUCUUUACUCAUUGUCGUGUAACAAGAAUGGAGUAAAGACAUAAAGAAAGGCCAAUUUUUGCCCCGUCUUGCCGAGUCUUGACUUCGUUGGUGUUCUUCUUGUUCAGGUAGUCUCUUUCCAGUCCACCGCAUCUUGUAGCUUUGGUUCAAUCCACUACAUCUUCUGACAUAUGCCUUGUAGCUUCAAUCUACUUCAAAGUAACUUUGAGGAUAUGAAAUUUUUGGCUUCGAUCUGCUUCACUGCAACUUCAGGAAGAUAAGAUCUACAACUUCAAUCUGCUCUUCUAUUGCUUCAGCGAGAUAAGGUUUAUGGUCUUCUCUUCUGUCACUUCAGAAAGGUAAGAUUUGAUAUUCUCGAUCAGCUUCACUGCAACUUCAGGGAGAAAAGAACUGGUGUCUUCAAUCAGCUCCAAUCUUCAUUCUUUACUCGGCAUGUGAUCCUGAGCUCAACUCAUUUCUCACAAUAUGAAUUGACUACUUAAAACUUGACAUGUGAACCCACGGCUCAACUCACCUCUCGCAAUAUGAGUUGAUCUUUGAAAAAUAUAAAUUGAGAAAACAUAAAUUAAAAAUACCUCAGCAUGUGAGCCAAGGCUCAACUCACCUCUCGCAAUAUGAGUUGAUUUUUAAAAAAAAAAAACGGAAAUUGAAAAACAGAAAUUGAAAGUAGCUCAUUACAUGAGCCAAGGCUCAACUCACUUCUCGCAAUAUCAGUUGGUUUUUGAAAAAUAAUUUGAAAAACAGAUUUUGAAAAUACCUCGACAUGUGACUCGAGGCUCAACUCACCUCUCACAAUAUGAGUUGGUUUUUUUUUGACAAACAGAAAUUGAAAAUACCUCAGCGUGCCCUGAGGCUCAACUCACCUCUCACAAUAUGAGUUGGUUUUUUUGACAAACAGAAAUUGAAAAUACCUCAGCGUGCCUUGAGGCUCAAGUCACCUCUCGCAAUAUGAGUUGAUUUUGACAAACAGAAACAGAAAUUGAAAAUACCUCAACACGUGAGCCGAGGCUCAACUCACUUCUUGCAAUAUGAGUUGAUUUUUUUGACAAUAGAAAUUGCAUCGCAAUAUGAGUUGAUUCUUUUGAAAAGCAGAAAUUGAAAAUACCUCAGCGUGCCCUGAGGCCUAACUCACCUCCCGCCAUAUGAGUUGAUUUUUGACAAACAGCAAUUGAAAAUACCUCAACGUGCCCCGAGGCUCAACUCACCUCCCGCAAUAUGAGUUGAUUUAAAAAACAGACAUAAAAACAGAAAUUGAAAGUGACUCAACACGUGAGCCAAGGCUCAACUCACCUAUCGCAAUAUGAGUUGAUUUUUUUCAAAGUAGAAUUUGAAAAUACCUCGGCGUGCCCCAAGGCUCAACUCACCUCCCGCAACAUGAGUUGAUUUUUGACAAUCAGCAAUUGAAAAUACCUUAGCGUGCCCCGAGGCUCAACUCACCUCCCGCAAUAUGAGUUGAUUUAAAAAACAGACAUAAAAACAGAAAUUGAAAGUGACUCAACACGUGAGCCAAGGUUCAACUCACUUCUUGCAAUAUGAGUUGAUUUUUUUGAAAGUAGAAUUUAAAAAUACCUCGGCGUGCUCCGAGGCUCAACUCACCUCCCGCAACAUGAGUUAAUUUUUGACAAACAGCAAUUGAAAAUACCUCAGCGUGCUCCGAGGCUCAACUCACCUCCCGCAAUAUGAGUUGAUUUAAAAAAAUAGACAUAAAAACAGAAAUUGAAAGUGACUCAACACGUGACCAAGGCUCAACUCACCUCUCGCAAUAUGAGUUUAUUUUUUUGAAAACAGAAAUGAAACAUCCACAUACCAAAAGAUGUCAUCUAGUGGAGCUCAUGUGUCUUUUCCUUGAUUCAGUAUAACUAACAUUGCAUCCUCUUGCUCCGCUGGAAUACCUGUAUAUGUCAUUCAUGAUGUUUUCAUGAUAUGCACAUGUUUUGCUUAAAUGCCUUUAUGCUUAUAUGAUUAUGCUAUGAGCUUUAGGCAUGUUUGUCAUAUAUCCCUUUUUCGUCACGAUUUUUGAUGAUCCGCGUUCAUUGCUUCGACUCAUGACUUUCUCUUCAAUACCCGUACCCGUCCUCCAGCUUCACGAAUAUUCUGUGUUUCUCAGAUAUCACUUUUUUGCCCCUAGUUGAGCUUUGUCCUUGCGUUGAGGCUCUUGUACUUAUCAAAUUCUUACCCGGGUAAUGCUUAACAUUUCUUUUGUUUAGAGUAUGUCAUUUUACUAUUUAUCAUGUAAAUGAACCACAUAAUGAGAUGUAUGAAAAUGGUCAGGUAGGGACAAAAGGAUACCUCACAUUUAUUCAUUUCAAAUGUAGCAAACAAAGAAAGUUAACAAAUGAUAGUAAAAGAGUGUCAUAAAGAGAAAAGGGAUUGCAUUCAACGAAUACAAAUGCUGUAGAUAUUCAAUGCAUGAACUCUUCCACGUUCCUCAAUCAAGAAUCUUUUCGAGCAUGGCUUCUUGCGUAAAAGAUUUUAAGCUUUCAGAAAUGCUUCAAAUACGGUAGUCUCACUAUUCGACCCACCGUUCAAAAUGCCUUGCUUUUAAGCCAGUGCUUGCUUCAUUAGAACGCCCUUUCGGGUUUUUAUCCUAAUCUUUUGUGUUAAUCAAGACGCCCUUUUCGGGUUUUCACCUUGAUCACCCUUUUUUUUAGGGAUAAUAUUUCUUCACAGCAUCUGAGUUCACUGAUUCAGUAACUCCUUCCCAUCCAUCUCGGUGAGAAUCAAAGCUCCACCUGAGAAUGCCUUCUUUACGACGUAUGGUCCUUUCCAAUUUGGUGCCCAUUUUCCUCGUAGGUCUCUUUGUAUUGGGAGAAUCUUUCUCAGCACGAGUUCUCCUUCGUGGAAUUCUCUUGGCCGUACCUUCUUAUCUGUCCAUGGCAAAUUGCCUUUAGACGUUUUUCUUUGAUGAGGUUUAACUGGUCAUAUCGAGCUCGAACCCAUUCUGCUUCCUCUAAUUUUGACUCCAUUAAGACUCGUAGAGAGAUGAUCUCCACUUCGAUAGGUAGCACAGCUUCCAUUCCAUAGAUCAGAGAGAAAUGAGUUGCCCCCGUAAAUGUCCGUACAGAUGUGCGAUAUGCAUACAAAGCAAAUGGCAGCUUCUCGUGCCAGUCUUUAUAUGUCUCGGUCAUUUUCCCAAUAAUCUUCUUAAUAUUCUUGUUGGCUGCUUGAACGGCUCCGUUCAUCUUUGGGCGAUAGGGCGAGGAGUUAUGAUGCUUUAUUUGGAAUUGCUCACACACUUAUUUCAUCAUCUUGUUGUUCAAAUUCAAGCCGUUAUCUGAAAUGAUUCUUUCAGGCAAAUCAUAUCGAUAAAUGAUUUCCCUUUUCAAAAACCUACAAACUGUAGUCUUCGUCACAUUGGCAAACGAUGCGGCUUCUAUCAGUUUUGUGAAGUAAUCAAUAACCACAAAAAUGAAUCGCUGUCCAUUAGAAGCUUUUGGGGAAAUUGGCCCUAUAACAUCCAUGCCCCACAUAGAAAAAGGCCACGGAGAAGUCAUGACGUGAAGGGGCAAAGGGGCUACAUGAAUUUUCUCACCAUAAAUUUGACAUUUGUGGCAUUUUCGUGCAAAAUUAAUGCAGUCGCUUUCCAUCGUCAGCCAGUAAUAUCCAAGUCUCAGAAUCUUCCUGGCCAUAGUGAAACAUUAGCAUGUGUCCCGCAAAUUCCCUCAUGGACAUCUUUAAGUAUUUUUCUAGCUUCAACAACAUCUACGCAUCUCAAGAGCACCUAAUCUUUUCCUCUUUUGUACAGGAUGUCCUCAUCAAGAACGAACCCCGCUGGCAUUCUUCUGAUUGUUCUUUUGUCGUUCUCGUUUGCUUGUUCGGGAUACUUUUGAUUCUUGAUAUAUUCUAAGACAUCAUGGAACCAUGGCCGUCCAUCUGGCUCUUUUUCAAUGCUGAAACAAUGUGCAGGGACUUCAUAUAUGCUCAUUUGAAGAGGCAUUAUUUCUGUUUCUCUGUUUGCUUUGAACAUUGAAGCCAAAGUGGCCAGGGCAUCAGCCAAUUGGUUUUCUUCUCGUGGUAGGUAAUUAAAAGUUAUUUCUUCAAAUUUUUUAAUCAACUCUGCCACUAUAUCACUGUAUUUAACCAGUUUCGAAUCUCUCACUUCCUAAUCUCCACGAAUCUAGUAAAUCACCAAGGCUGAGUCUCCGUAUACCUCUAAAGUUUUGACGUUUCGUUUAAUAGCUGCACGAAGUCCCAUGAUACAUGCCUCAUAUUCCGCUAUGUUAUUAGUACAGAAGAAGUUCAGCCUGGCAGUGAGUCGGUAAUGGCUCCUUUCUGGCGAUACUAAGACUGCUCCAAUCUCAUGCCCCAAUGCGUUCGAUGCACCAUCAAAGCUCAUCUUCCAUGACUUCUUUUUUGAUGACUCGCCCUCUUUUUCUGUAAUUCACAUCAAAUCUUCAUCCGGGAAAUCAAAUCUCAAUGGCUCAUAUUCAUCCAUUGUUCGGGCUGCUAAGAAGUCAGCUAUUGUGCUUCCUUUUAUUGACUUUUGACUCACAUAGACGAUGUCGUACUCCGAUAGUAAGAUCUGCCACCGUGCCAUUCUUCCUGAGAGUGCAAGUGAUUCCAUCAUGUACUUUAUUGGAUUUAGCUUUGAAAUUAACCAUGUCGUAUGAUACAACAUGUAUUGCCUGAGUCUCCGAGCUGCCCAAACCAGAGCGCAACAGUAUUUUUCAAUGGAUGAAUACUUUGCCUCAUAUUCAGUGAACUUUUUACUGAGGUAGUAGAUCACCUUUUCUUUCUUUCCUGACUCGUCAUGUUGCCCCAGUACGCAACCCAUUGAAUUUUCGAACACAGUCAAAUACAAUAUCAAUGGUCCUCCAGGAGUUGGCGGUACUAGCACUAGAGGACUAGACAAAUAUUGUUUUAUCUUAUCAAAGACCACUGGCAUUCCUCAUUCCAUUCUCCCGGGUUAUUUUUUCGAAGAAGCCGAAAGAUUGGGUCGCAUUGGUUGGUAAGUUGAGCGAUGAAUCGGGUGAUGUAGUUUAACCUCCCUAAAAAUCCUCUGACUUCCUUUUGCGUGCGCGGAGGUGGUAACUCUUGAAUGGCUUUUAUUUUACUUGGAUCAACCUCGAUACCUCUUUCACUGACAAUGAAGCCCAGUAAUUUUCCCGAGGUAGCCCCAAACGUACAUUUGGCCGGAUUGAGCUUUAGCUGGAACUUUCUCAGUCUAUCGAACAACUUCUUCAGGUUCACUACAUGCUCUUCUUCCCCUCGAGAUUUAGCAAUCAUAUCGUCGACGUAGACCUCUAUUUCUUUAUGCAUCAUGUCAUGGAAUAACGUCACCAUAGCCCUCUGAUAUGUUGCCCCAGCAUUCUUUAGCCCAAAUGGCAUCACCUUGUAGCAGAAUGUUCCCCACAUUGUUAUGAAGGUAGUUUUCUCCAUAUCCUCAGGGGCCAUCUUGAUUUGAUUAUACCCCGAGAAUCCGUCCAUGAAAGAAAAAAAUGAAUGUUUUGCUGUGUUAUCCACCAACGUAUCAAUGUGUGGUAAGGGAAAAUUAUCUUUAGGACUUGCUCGAUUCAGGUCACGAUAAUCUACGCAUAUUCGUACUUUACCAUCUUUCUUUGGUACCGGGACUAUGUUAGCCACCCAUUCUGGAUAUUUGGAGGCUUGUAGGAAGCCAGCAUCAAAUUUCUUCUUGACUUCCUAUUUUAUCUUCAACAACAUCUCAGGCCUCAUCCGUCUUAGCUUUUGUUGAAUGGGAUUGCAUUCUGGCUUUAAUGGGAGCUUAUGGACCGCUACCUCUUCAUUCAAUCCUGGCAUGUCCUGAUAUGACCAUGCGAAUACAUCUUUGUUCUCGUAGAGCAAAGCAAUCAAAUUAUGCCUGGUGCCCCCUGAAAUAGAAGUCCCAAUCUUCACUUCUUGCUUCCUUUCUUCAGUUCCCAGAUUUAUUGUUUCAACAAAUUCUUGACUAGGCAAAAUUUGUUUAUCCUCUUGUUCCACUAUUCUUAGCAAGUCAGGAGAUGAGAUAUAGUCUUUUUCUUCGGUUUCGAAUUCUCCUAAACAAACAGCCUUCUCAAAAUUGAUUUCAGGACUCGUAACGGGUUUGUUCAUGCAAUUGAUAUCUGAGCACAUAAAAAUUGAAUGGAAAAGGAAACUAUAGAGGGGCAUCUAAGUAUUGAAACCAACAAACUAAAUGUUAUGGUAUGGCAUGAGGCAAUUGUAAAGAUAGGCUAUGAAAUGAUUAUGGAAUUAGUGAUAACGCGAAAAAAUCAUGACAAAAUGCAUCUUCAUUGUUAUUCAUUUAAAUGAUAAAGAGCGAAUGCAAGCUCUUACAAAAGAAUUCUGUUAUAUCUAAGGACAUAGAAGCAUGUUAACGUUUGAGCAUUACUUUGAAGACUUAUAAACUACAAGAAGAUCCUCGGCAGUCCAAUUGUUCAACAUGAAACCCGGGGGACAAGGGCGUAUCUUUGAGACGUCUUUACUCGCGUCAGCUCCUUUGUCAAUGACAUUUAUACUGAUAUUCUGAAAACCCUCUUCGAUCAUUAACAUUGUGCUUUGUGUACUAUACUCCCCUGGGUUUAUCAUUCCCACAGACGUAAAUAUUCUUGACAAAUGAGGGAAUUCCAUGGGCUCCCAUUCUGGUUUUCGGCCUAGUGUUCUCGCGAUCCUUCUUUCCUGAUCUUUCUUCCACUACUUUCUUUUUUGAUGCAUGUCUGGCUGGAACCCUAAACCGUAUCGGGCUUUGUGGUGUACUGGCUUUAGAGCCCUGACUAUUCCUUGCAGGUACCUUCCCAAACCUUUCCUUGCUCAUGCUCCCUUUCCUACAGUCAACUUGACACCCAUCUUGGUAUUUCUCGACAGUUUUGGCUCGGGAAUUCUGUUUCCCUCAGCGACGAAUGUGACAUUGACAAAUUCAAGAGAUUGGAAGGAACAUUCCAUAGCAUCUUUACUCAUUUCAAUAUAUGGUGCGUCGGCAGAAAUAGAUACUACAAUGUCUUCUUCUCCCUCGACAGUGACCAAACAGCCAUCCAUGAUAAAUUUCACCUUUUGAUGGAGGGAUGAUGGGACUGCUCCAGCAGAACGGAUCCAAGGUCUUCCCAAGAAACAAUUGUAUGAUGGUGUAAUGUCCAUGACUUGAAACUUAACACCGUAUAUGUAGGGAUCCACUUCUAGAGGGAUCUCGAUUUUUCCCAUAACUUCUCGUCUUAUUCCAUCAAAUGCCCUUACUGUAGAAUGGCAGGGCCUUAGAUAGGACAAAUCCAUCGGAAUCUUGGAAAGUGUGGCCAAAGACAUGACAUUGAGUGUCGAUCCAUUGUCGAUGAGGACGUUCGGUAUUAUAUAGCCCUUACAACGGGUUGUGAUUGCAAUGCUUUCACUGAGCCUCUACCAUUGGGCGGUAUUUCAUUAUCACUAAAAGAAAUGAAAUUAUCCGCAUUCAAGUUGUUUGCCACAUAAGCUUGAUUUAACACUUUCAGCAAAGCGUUCCAGUGUGGUUCUGAAUUCAACAGCAGAGAUAAUACCGAGAUUCGAGCUGGCUACUUACUCAAUUGUUCUACCACGUUGUACUCACUAUUCUUGAUAAAUUUUAAGAAUUCCUGUGCUUCCUCCUCGUCCACAGGCUUUUUAGCUUCUUGUUCAGGCACAGUUUCAUGCUUAUCUUCGGUCAUGUGCAUCGGUGUUUUUCCUUUCUGUUUCAAGUCACUAUUUUUCUUUAUCUCCUUCGAAUAACAUCUUUCACUACGAGUGAAAUGACCUACUUCCCCGAUGCUUCCAGUCAUGGCUUUGGGUUUUUCAUUUUCAGGUGUGGCGAUAUUAACAUCAUAUUUCCAUGGUACUGCUUUAUUAUCCUUGUAAGGGAUAGGAGACGGUACUUCAAUUAUCAUUUUUGGUUUCACCGGUUCCUUCCUUGCAUCGUAAUAAAUUACGAAUGGUCGAUCGGCACUAUACAGACAACCUGACGAUUGAUUGUCAGAGGGACAUACUUCUUUCUCAUUGGCCUCUCAUUCAUUAAUGAUCUCAAUCUCCUUAUUAUCUAUCUGGUCUUGCAGUAACCUUUUAAAUUCCUCACAUGAUUGAAUGCCGUACCCUACAAUUCCAUGAAAAUCACAAAAAACCUGACAUUCUUUUCUGAGAUUAUCGUCGGGGCGACAGAGCAAUCCAUUCUUAAACAGUGCCUCCUAGAUUUUCUGCAGAGGCGUCCUUAUUUCUGAAACACAUCUUCUAACUUGCCAUUCAUCUUCUUUCCUCACUGUGCUCAUAUUCCCUUCAGUAUGGUUAGGGAACGGGUUCCUAGUUGCAUUACUGGCACUAUCGAAUCGUAGUAUACCCGCAUCAAUUAGUCCUUCAACUCUCCUCUUAAAGGCUAGGCAAUUUUUCAUGGAAUGUCCCUGGUUUCUCGCAUGGUAUGUCCAACUAGCGUUUGGGUCGUACCAUUUCGGGUAUGGGGGCCUCAAGGGUGCCAUAUAAUGCGGGGAUAUCAAUUGCUUCUCCAAAAGUUUUGGGUAUAGUUCCACAUAUGACACAGAAAUAGGGGUAAAUUGUGGUAUCUCGGAAUUGGGUUUUGCUAGCCUCUACUCGUUUUUGGGUUGACCUUGAGCGGGUAUUGUAUUUUGUGGGAAUGUAGUGGUUGAUCUCGAGUUACUUGUGGCGUAAAUAGGGUAAGAAGAGUAAGGAGGCGGUGUUUAGUAGUAAGGGGUUUGAGGAGGAUAAUAAAAAUUCGGAGGUGGAUAAUUUCGAGGUCGGGGUUGGUUUGGAUACGGAUUAGGGGUAUAACGUCUUCCUAUUCCCACCAUGUGGUCUUCUAGUUCUUUCUUCUUCAUGGGCGCUAUCCUUCUUGAACUUUCUUGACCUUCCAUUCUAUCGCUCUUGACAACGUUCUCUAUAAGCUCACCGGAUAUUACAAUAUCCGUGAAGACCUUCAUGGCGCUUCCUACUAGUUUGUCAUAAAACGGCGUCUUUAAGGUGUUGAUAAAAAGGACGGUUAUCUCCGUUUUUGUCAGUGGGGGUUCCAUUUGGGCUGAGACGUCCCUCCAUCUCUGCGCAUACUGUCUAAAAGUUUCUGACAGCUUUUUCUCCAUCAUUUGUAAAGUCAUCCGAUCAGGCACCAUAUCUGAUACAUGCUUGUACUGCUCACAGAACGCCGACGCCAAGUCUUUCCAAGAUCGGAUCCUUUCCUUACUGAGCUGGUUGUACCACCGAAGAGCCGAUCCUACUAGACUAUCUUGGAAACAAUGUAUAAGUUGCUUAUCUUCGUUCACGUAACUGAUCAUUUUUCGGCAAAACAUGACAAGAUGUGCUUUUGGACAUCUUGUCCCAUCGUACUUUUCGAAAUCAGGCACCUUGAACUUCGGAGGCAGGAUUAGGUCAGGUACCAAACUGAGUUCUUUAGCACCUAGUGUAGAGAAGACUUCAGUACCUUCUAUUGCCUUAAGUCUUUCCUCCAAGCUCCUAUACCUCUCUUGAGCCUCGUGAUCAUCUAUUUUCAACUUGGCUAUUUCGGUCGGAUCAUCUAAAUCUGAAACUACAGGAUUGGCAGGGGUUGCUCCGGGAUUUGACAUAAAUGUUCCUUGCCCUAGAUGAGCAAAUGGCAUAGGUCGUUGUUCCAAGCCUGUGGACUCCCCUUGAGUAUACCCUCUUUGUGCUACAUGGGCAUGCGGUGGAGUGAAUCCUGGGGGAUAGAGUGGAUCCUGGUCAUGAUUAAUUCUUGAUUGAGGUUCCAAACUGUCGGGGUUCUGCAUGGGUCCUUUUCCUUUGACCAAAACCGACAUCAUCUCCAUCAUUCUAGCCAUUUGAUCCUUCUGUUCAAGUGAUUCCUCUCGAGAUCUUACUAUCAAAUCCCUCGUUUCUUGCUGUGACUUAGCCAGUUGUUCUUGUAAUUCCUUUUAGACUCUUUCCAUUCUUUCGAUUCUUUUAUUGAACUCAACCUCCAUUGCUCUAGCUUGUCGACACGUUUUAUACGAAUGGCGCGGUUCCAGAUUUGAAGUGUUGCAACUGCGAAUUAUAUGAUUCUAACCUUAGCGAAUUAUUAUGGGAUAUGUAUAUGCAAUGAAUGAAUGAAUAAAAGUUGAAUGAAUGUCAGUCAUGAAAGAAAUGCGAGAAAUUGGUGUAGAUCUCGAGAUAGUCCCUAUUAGGUAUUUCAUUCAUCAAAAGAGUUCAUUACAAAACAUUUCGCUAUUUUUUGAUUUGGCCAUUACACAAACUUCCUAGCUAUAUUGCUAUAUUUCUUUACUCGCUCCAAGAACUCCGAUAUGCUCGAUUGUUGGCUCGGCGAGAAUUGGCAAAUGAGAUCCUCUGCUUCAUCUGAUAGUUGUACCAUGUGCACAGCCACUUCACGGAUUUUGUUGAUCAAAAAGCCAAGUUGCAUUUCUCUUUCUUGGAGGUCCGUUUUAUAAGCAUGAGUGUCUCUAUCAUAUUGAUCAUUCUUUUCUUCCAAGGUUUUUAAGAGAGUAUCCAAUUGUUGCUGACGAGCUCGCAACGAGUCUUCUAGAUCCUGUACUAUUUCUCUUAAGCUUUGACGUUCGGAUUGACUGGUUGUCCAUUUGGUAGACAUAGCUUUGUGUUCAGUGCUUUUCUUUCUCAAUUCUAUCAUAACCCGCGCAGCCUUUUCCUCUUCCUUCUCUGCCCUCUUUUUCCAAAAUUCCAUCCUGCCUUUAGCAUUGUUUAAUUCUUCUCUCCACUCUGUUGACGACUUACCCAACCCACUGUUCUUGAUAGUGACUCUUAACUUUUUAUUUUCUAGAUGAAGGUCCCUUAAGUCAUUUCUUACGACUUCAACUUCUUUUUGUACUUUCUCAAUUUUAGACCUUUCGAUCUGGACGCCGAUCUUCAACUGGUAGUUUUCUUCUUGAAGAAUACUAAUGUCUCGCAACAUUUUGACCUUUUCACGCUCAAAUUCCUAUCUUGCUAUUUCUAGCUCUGAUGGCACUUCUGUCGAGAAAGGAUUCUGGACGGCGUAAUUUGUUGACGAGAUUUGCUGGCUGUUCACCCGUUACUUUCUCCAUAUGUCGUAAUCUUGGGUGAGGGUAUCGGCAUAUAGAGCUAAUUCCAUAUGAUGAAUUCUUUUCUAAGACUUUGCAGUAUCUCGGACUCUCUUCAUAUAUCCUUCACCCGCGAAAGUAAACUCUGAUUGUGCUAAUCCUCCGGUGCCGGGUAUGAAUUGUCGUGAAGAAAAUUGUCUCUGUACCAUUAACGGAGCAUAUCCAACUCCUCUCCAUAACCCGAGUAGUGACACCCAAUCUUGAACUCCGACCUUGUAUAGCAGAACUGACGGGCGUAUCCACGGUGCUCUAAAAAUUACGUCUUCGGCACGAAGAUUCUGAAAGACUGAGACCCAGUGUUGUUCGGUGACCUCCUUUGGCCAUUCUUUCUUGAGAUAAGCUUCUAACGGGGAGAAUGUUUUAGAAAACAUACGGAACGAUGUGCGCUCUACUUUCCAGAAGUGGUUCAGAAUCCAAACAUUGAGUAAUUGUAAGUGUAGGGAUGGCGUGGGUGAUUUAUUCCCCACAGGAAGUGUAGGGAUGGAUAGAGGCAAGUGCAGGGUUGGAUGGGGUUAUCAUGCAUUAAUCAUAUGAGACUGUUUUAUUAUGGGCCAACUGUAUUAAAAUGGGCCCAACUGUGUUAAUAUGGGCAAGACCCAAUAUAUCUCGACUUGUAAUAGGGCUACGGCCCAGACUGAUACUGAUAUGGGCUAGGCCCAGUAUGCUCUGAUAUUGUAAUAGGGCUAUGGCCCAGAUUAAUAAUGAUAUGGGCUAAGACCCAAUUAACACUGAUUUCUAAAUAGGGCUUAGGCCCAGUAAAGCUUGAACUGAUUUGGGCUCUGGUUGGGAUACUUUACACACUGAGUUUUCCAAACUCACCCCCCUUUUUCCCAUCUUUCUAGGUGAACCUUAGAUCGAUGGACUUGGAGCUGGGCGGGAUUCAGAGUGGCCACGAAGAUUAAGUUUUGUUUUCUUUAAAAUAAGUUUUGCGUUUAUUAUUUUGAUUAGUUUUUAUUCUGGUUAAAGUUGUAAUAAGGCCGCUCUUUUUAUUAUUUUUAAUAUUUUGGGUUAUUAAAUUGGUUAGCUCUAGGGCGCGUUUUAUAAAAGUUACUUAUUUUUAAAAUAUCACGAUAACCGAGCAAAGCUUCCGCAACGUAAAUGUUUUCAAAGGAAAUAAAUAUUUUAAUUAGACUUAAACUUAAUUUCUUGUUCGUGGACAAGUAAUAAGCUUAAAGUGUGGCAAUGGAUGUAUGCAUGUCUAGGAUUGGAUCAUGGAAGAGCUAGGUACUUAGGCAGUCUAAUUGACUCACCUCCUUUUUUCUUGAAUCCUACCUGGUGCGUAGUAUCCAUUCACUUUAAGCCAUGACAAAGAAGGUUUGAUUUUUUUCGAUACUUAACAGUUUUUUUAAAAUAACAUGUUUCUACCACUACAAAGGUUUACAAGUUUUCAAAGUUUCCCAUAAGAUUUUUCAAGGUUGUUAACAAUGCUUUGAUUAUUACAAUGAAUCACAUUUUGGAAAAAAAAUAAGGCUAAGGUUUUAUUCAAGUUUAAACGGUAAAAGUUUCUAAACAUCAAGAAGGGUUUUCAAUGAAAACAUGAUUUUCGAAAAACACUUCAAUGUGACACGCCGGAUUCGGUCGUAACGUCUGAGCCGGGUUUGGGGUGUUACAUUUAGUGGUAUCAGAGCCCGGUUGCAACAACUCGACUGUGGACCAGGUCCAAAAAGGUUUUCAAAACUUUAAGCCCAAAGAGGGUAUUUUUGGAAAAAAAUCUGACUUUUGAAAACGGAUUUUCUGGUUAAAGGAGAUAAAUUUUCAAACUUGGUUUCUUUAAAUCAAAUGUUUGAGAAAUGGAUUUUAAAGGCCUAAAUCUUUUGCGUUUGUCUGAAAUCUGAUAAGGUGGUACACUGAAUCCCCGGCACCAAGUCUGUAAGUAUCCCUGUCACUCAUACUACACUGUACUAAGAUAUUACUGUAGAUAGAACUGAGACCAGAUCAUGACAUUAUAGCUAGGAUAAUAUUAAAAACCCUAGAAUAUAUGAGACUAUAGCUAGGCUAUGAAAAUAGAAACUUUAGAAUACUAUCUCUGCAUAACACGUAUAAAUAAGUAUUAUUUUUGAAUCAAGAUCUUGGUAGUUAUUGUUAUGCAUGCUGAUAAUGUAGAGUGUUGAUAUGGAUACUGAGGAUAAGCAAAGUCUGCCAACUUUGGGUAGCGGUAACUUGGAGAUUGGGACUGAGGCACUAGCCGAGUUAGUAAGGAAAGUGGUAGAAGAAGUAUUAGAGACCAAGGUUAAGGAAAUUAGGGAAAUGUUUCAAGCGGGGUGCUUGGAGUGUAAGAAGAGGAAGGAUUCUAGUUCUCAGAAGACCGAGCUUCGUUCUGUGAAACAUGUUAAGAAACGACCAAACUUUCCAGCCUGCAAGAAUUGCAACGGGCGUCAUACGGGUGAAUGCCUUAGGAAGACAGGAGCAUGCUUUAGAUGUGGGUCCAAGGAGCAUCGAGCUCGGGAUUGCCAAGUUUAUCCUAUUUAAGUGUGUGUUACGAAUUGAAUGCGUGCUUGAUAGAUGUUUCUUUACUUUGGUAACUAGAUGUUCGGGGUCGUACUAAGAAUUAUUUUUUUAGAGUGCGCAGCAGAAGCAUAGUGGGUUGACUAGAGUUAUACGGUUUAAGGGGAGUAGAAUUGUAACACCCCGAUUUUUGGGGCCUAAAAGAGUUGGGCUUUGAGUCUGGGAUUCGGAUAGAAGGAAACCUGAAUAAUUAGGAAGUUUUAAAUAUUACCGUUUAAGAAAAAAAAAUUUUGAAUUACUACUAGAAAAUUUUUACUCUAUUUAUUAUUACGGAUAUUUUAAAUUUUUACGAAAUUUUAAUUAGUAUUAUGAGAUAAAAUUAUUAUUAUUAGAAAAAUAUUACUGCAUGUAUGUUUGAAAAUUUUUUAUGAAAAUUAUUAUUAUUAUUUACUGUAUUAUUGAUAUUUAAAAUUUUUAUUAUUAGAUAUAUUUAUAAUAAUAUUAUUAUUAGAUAGGAAAAAAAAUAUAAAAUAUAUAUAUUUAUAAAAGUAUUGUUGUUUUGGUGUUUAAGACUCUAGAAAAAUUUUAAUUUUAUGCUACCUUAGGGAAUCUGGGCAGUAGGCCUUAUUAAUAAUUUGGGUUGAGUUUUAGCAUAAAGGAGCACUUGGCCUAGUGGCUAAGCAUGCUAGGUAGUGGGAAGGAGAGUUGGGGUUCGACUCCCAACAUGUGCAAAAAAGAGUUUUGUUUUUUCUUUAUAUCAGGGAACGACGCAGGGAAGUGUUAUAUAAAGUUGGGGUUAAAACGUAACACAAAAGGGAAGCUCGGCCCAGUGGCAGAGGCGCUGGGAGUGUGGUAUAGUGCCUAGGUUUGAGGGUUGGCACACGCAAAGGCUUGUUUUUAUUUUAAUAAGCCAGAUCGCACUAAAGUAAGGUUUAAGAAUAAUUGCGACCGAGCUAUGUCACAAGAAGCGCUUGUGGCUCAGUUGCUGUAGCGUGCUGGGCAUAUAGAGAGGGCGCAGGUUUGAGUCUGUAUGCAGGCGAAUUCUGUUUAAUUUUUAAAGUGGGUCAGAACUGAAGCAGGUAAGGUUUAUAAUUAGUUGUGACCAUAUAUUAGCAAGGAAGAAAGCAUGGUGCAGUGGCCAGUAGCACGUGUGUGGGCGCAAGGCGGACGGAGUUCUGGGUUUCGAGCUGCAGUUCGGGCACGCAAGGAUUGGAUUUUUUGCUGCAUACGUGGGGAGGAAUUGGGGUCUGACCAGGACUCUUGGCAGCAUGCAGAAGCGGUGCAAGCAGGUGGAUAAGGCUGCUGAUCGGUUGGGAGUUUAAAUGAAAUUCAAACUUGAAAUUUGGCCAAAAAUCAAGGAGCAAAUUAGGGAAUUGGAAUUUAAAAAGAAUUCCACUCAUUCGGCCAUAGCUAAAGAGUGCCGAAUAUUUUAGGCCUUUAGGAUUUAUUUUUUUCCUUCUUCUAUUUUCUAUUCUUUUCUAUCCUUCUCGCAUCUCUUCCCCUCUUCUCUCUUCUUUCUCCUCUUGCCGAUUCUCAUCGUAUCUUUUUGCCGAACCUAAAUCCUUCAUAUUCUUCUUCUUUUUUUCUCUCAUAAAUCCUCAACAAAACUAGUUAGCCAAAUUUCUAUUGAAGCCAAACCUCGUAUCUUUUCUUCCAAAACCGAAAUCUUACUACUUUGAGGUACUACAAAGGCUGAACCCUUGGUUGAGUAUUUUCCCUUCUUGUGCGGUGGUUGGAUCUACAAUCAAUUGGAGUAGUGUCAUGAUGAUAUAGGUAAACGCUCGAAUCUUUCUUUCGUUAUUCAUGAAUUAAGGUAAAAGCCGAAAAACCCCUAUAUGCAAAGGGUGCCUGUUGAUUGUACUCAAAGGGUUUAGUGGUGAUAUCUGAUUUGUUUUCCUAUAGUGUGGAUUAAAGGCUACUAAUCGAGGGCUUGGAUAUUUGGAACGACUAGAAUUAAAUCUAGUCCAUUUUUUCAGCAAAGGUAAGAACACUAGUGCCUAAAGUGUUAAUGGUCGAUUUUUAGUACGGAGUUUUGCAGAUAAGUUGCUGUGGAUUCAUAGUUAACGUAUUAGUAAUUGAUUGUAGGCAGUUCGUGUGUGGAACUCAUAGCAUUUCAUCGCAAACAGGUGUGUAAACGACACCCACUCAUAGACUAGAUCGGUAAAAGCCGAAAAGCCGAAAAGCCGGCAUUUAUGAACUUGCGAGCGUGCGAGCGCUUGUGAGGUGGUUUGGUUGUUAAUUUUGAUAAUCGCAAGCAGUAUGAUUGCAGAGUUCGUAAUUUCGUGCACUUCGGUAUAUUUGGGCUUAAUGGGCCAAAAAUAGGUUAGUGGGCCAACGGGCCCGAUUCGGUAAAAACGCUUGGUAAGUGCUUCUGUUAAUGUGUUAAUGGUUAGAAUAUGUAUGUAAACUCUAGAAUAGUAAAUUUUAUUAAACUACCCCUAAGUAUGAAAAUUACCGUUUUACCCCUAGGUGCUAAAUGACCGUUAUACACCUAGGGUUAAUUUUGACUGAAAUACAUGAUAUUCUGAUUCUGUUUGUUAUAUGCCAUGACAUGUAUAUCUGUUGCAUGGGGUUGGGUUUUGUUAUGGAGGAAGAACCCGUUCUGGUGGCUGUGCCACAUAUUCUGAUAUAAACAGCUUUGCUGCGGAUUAUAGUUAGUGCCGCAAUCGGUGCUAACACUGUAAGUGUAGGGAUGGAGUGGGUGAUUUAUUCCCCACAGGAAGUGUAGGGAUGGACGGAGGCAAGUGCAGGGUUGGAUGGGGUUAUCAUGCAUUAAUCAUAUGAGACUGUUUUAUUAUGGGCCAACUGUAUUAAAAUGGGCCCAACUGUGUUAAUAUGGGCAAGACCCAAUAUAUCUCGACUUGUAAUAGGGCUACGGCCCAGACUGAUACUGAUAUGGGCUAGGCCCAGUAUGCUCUGAUAUUGUAAUAGGGCUAUGGCCCAGAUUAAUACUGAUAUGGGCUAAGGCCCAGUUAACACUGAUUUUUGAAUAGGGCUUAGGCCCAGUAAAGCUUGAACUGAUUUGGGCUCUGGUUGGGAUACUUUACACACUGAGUUUUCCAAACUCACCCCCUUUUUCCCAUCUUUCUAGGUGAGCCUUAGAUCGAUGGACUUGGAGCUGGGUGGGAUUCAGAGUGGCCACGAAGAUUAAGUUUUGUUUUCUUUAAAAUAAGUUUUGCGUUUAUUAUUUUGAUUAUUUUUAUUCUGGUUAAAGUUGUAAUAAGGCCGCUCUUUUUAUUAUUUUUAAUAUUUUGGGUUAUUAAAUUGGUUAGCUCUAGGGCGCGUUUUAUAAAAUUUACUUAUUUUUAAAAUAUCACGAUAACCGAGCAAAGCUUCCGCAACGUAAAUGUUUUCAAAGGAAAUAAAUAUUUUAAUUAGACUUAAACUUAAUUUCUUGUUCGUGGACAAGUAAUAAGCUUAAAGUGUGGCAAUGGAUGUAUGCAUGUCUAGGAUUGGAUCAUGGAAGAGCUAGGUACUUAAGCAUUCUAAUUGACUCACCUCCUCUUUUCUUGAAUCCUACCUGGUGCGUAGUAUCCAUUCACUUUAAGCCAUGACAAAGAAGGUUUGAUUUUUUUUCGAUACUUAACAGUUUUUUUAAAAUAACAUGUUUCUGCCACUACAAAGGUUUACAAGUUUUCAAAGUUUCCCAUAAGAUUUUUCAAGGUUGUUAACAAUGCUUUGAUUAUUACAAUGAAUCACAUUUUGGAAAAAAAAUAAGGCUAAGGUUUUAUUCAAGUUUAAACGGUAAAAAUUUCUAAACAUCAAGAAGGGUUUUCAAUGAAAACAUGGUUUUCGAAAAACACUUCAAUGUGACACGCCGGAUUCGGUCGUAACGUCUGAGCCGGGUUUGGGGUGUUACAAUAAAAGUGCCAGGCAUAUAUUAAAGCAAAUAAUAAAUAGGAUAAUAAUAUUAAAAACAAUAAUCACACAUGCGAUAUUAAACGUAAAUAAUGAUAAUAUUAAACAUGAAAUAAAAACAACGAAUAUAUAUACAUAAUAAUAUUAAAAGUGUGUGCAUAAGAUAUAUAUAGUAAUGGAGUCAUAAAUAUACUAUGCAUAGUAUUUGAAAUAUAUAUAAAAUAGGGAAAAAGACUAACUAAUGUAGUAAAAACGCAUAGAUAUUAAAAAUGUAUAUAAAAGAAAAUAUGCGUGUAAAUAUAUGUACAUAAGACCGUAUAAAAGUAUACAACUAUGAUACUAAAGUAUAUAUAUACAUAUUAGAAUAUUUAUUGAAACUAAAACUAAUACUAAUAAUAGCAAAACUAAUAAAAUAAUAUAGUACAAAAAUAUGUAACUAAAAACAUUAUAAUAUGAAUACGUACAUAUAAUAUAAUAUUAAAAUAUACAUAAUAUAUAUAAAACAUAUAUUAAGAUUAAAAAUAAUAAAGAUGAUAUAAAUAUAUGUACAUGAAAUAAAAACAUAUAACUAAUAAAAAAUAAAUGAGGGAAAUAUACGAUAUAAAACGUAUGCGAUAUAUAUAUACAUUAGAAGUGAUAAAUAAAAAUAUUUGUGCGAUAAAAAUACUUACGUAUAUAUAGUAAUAACGUUAGAAAUAUUCAAUAUAUAAUAUAUAAAAAUAUACAUACAUAAUACAGAACAUAUAUAGCGUAGUAUUAAAAUAUAAACACAAUAUAUAUAUUUUGAAACUAAUAAUAAUAAUAAAAAUAUUGAUAAUACUUCACGAAUACAUACAUAUUAAAAAUAUACAUAAUAAUAUAUAUAAAUAUAAUAUUAAAAGUACGUAACAUAUAAAUAUAUAUAUACACAUAGUACAAUACAUAAUAUGGGCACAUUAGAAGUAAUAAUAAUAAUAAUAAUAAUAAUAAUAAUAAAUUAAAGUAGAGUAACGAAAAAAAGUAAAAAAAAAGGACGAAAUUGAAUUAAAAACUGAAUUUUGGGGCCAAUUUGAAAUAAAAACUAAAGAAAAGGACGAAAUUAUAACAUGCGCGUAACUCGGAGGGGCUAAAAGGGAAAUUUUCCCAAGCCUCCAAAAUGCACCGCAUUGAAUGGGACUAAAUCGUAAGGCGCGGAAAAUUAUGGGGCCAAAUUGAAAAUAAAAAUGACUUAAUUGCAAAAGAGUGAAAAAGCGGAAGGACCGCGCGCAUAAAUAAACCAUUAAUAGAAAACACGCGGAUCCUUGGCGGGUUUGGAUCGGGUCGGGUCAGGUAGGCUCAAAACGACGUCGUUUGGGGUUAAAGGGCAGCCCCCAAAACGACGUCGUUUUAGAGGGCUAUAUAAGGCCAAUUUUUGACAAAAAAAUCAUUUUGAAGAGAGAAAGAAAAAAAAAGAAGGGAGAAAGAAGAGAGAAGGGAGAGGGGGAAAGGAAAUCCGGCCAGAGGGGCCAGUCACCGGCCGCCGUCUGUCGCCGGCGCCAGCCACCACCCGCGGUGGCUGAAAAAAGGUAAUUUUUUUUUAUAUUUUUUAUUAUUAUAUUUUUAUAUGUUUUAAAGUAUAUCGGUGAGAAAAUAAGCUUAAAAAAAUGAAAAUAAAAUAGAAAAAAAGGAAAAUCACCUUCGUUCUUUGAUUUCGAUUUUUGUUUUCUGUUUCUCUGAUUUUGUGUUUGAUUUGGUGAUUAUUGUCUUCAAUAUUGAUGGAAUUGCUAUCUUUUUGCUUAAAAAACAAAUGCUUUUCUGUGUAUUAUUUUAGAGUUGCCGAAAAUAGGAGAAGAAAAAAAAAGAGCCUUUACAUUUGAUUUCAUGGCUCUUAUAGCCUUAUAAUUUUAUUUUCUAUUACUUUCUGUCUCUUCAUUGCUGCUUGCAGGGUAUGGAGGUGCCAGGCAUGCGGGGAUGGUGUUGGCAGAAGCAUGGGCGAUGGCUAGGUAUGGGGGCGACCAAGGAUGGUGCUGGUGUCAGAGGAGUGGAGGAGAGCGGCUGAAAACUUUGGUGGCUAGGGUUUGCUGCUGAAAAUUUUUUUUAGAUAGUGGGCUUGGGUUGUUGGGGUUUGUAAAUUGGGUUUGGGUAUUGUAUUAUUGGGUUGAUCUGGUUUGUAAAAUGAACAUUUAUUUGGGUUAUUUGGAUUUUAUUUUCUUCUUGUUUACUUGGGCCAAAAAUUGGCCAUUACAACUAGCAUACGAAGCGGCUUCUACCCAUUUGGUGAAGUAGUCGAUAACCACAAAGAUGAACCGAUGCCCAUUGGAAGCUUUCGGCUAUAUUGGUCCAAUCACAUCCAUGCCCCACAUGGAGAAUGGCCAUGGAGAAAACAUGACAUGCAGCAGUGAAUGAGGCACAUGAAUUUUAUCUCCGUAGAUUUGGCACUUAUGGCAUCUCUUUUUGACACAGUCUCCUUCCAUGGUGGACCAAUAAUACCCGAAUCUCAUAAUUUGCCUGCCCAUUGUGGAGCCAUUAGCGUGUGUCCCACAGACGCCUUCAUGGACUUCUUCCACAAUUUUCUUAGCCUCCACAGCGUCUACACAUCUUAGUAGCACUUGAUCCUUUCUUCUUUUGUAUAGGAUAUCUCCAUUUAAGACAUAAUCGAUGGCCAAUCUUCUUAGCGUUCUUUUGUCAUUCUCGCUUGCCUGGUCUGGGUACUCACGAUUCUUCACGUAUUGCAAUAUAUCGUGAUACCAAUGGUGAUCAUCUUUCUCUUCAUCUUCUUCAAUAUUGUAACAGUGGGCCGGAAUUUCAUAACUGCUCAUCCAGAUGGGUUUGACAUCUUCAUGUUUGUUCACCUUGAUCAUGGAGGCUAAAGAAGCCAAAGCAUUAGCCAUCUAAUUUUCGUCUCGUGGAAGGUAAUGUCAUCAAACUCUUUAACCAAUUCCAGGACCAGCUUCCGAUAAUCGAUUAACUUGGGGUCUCUAGUCUCCCAUUCUCCUUUAAGUUGAUAAAUCACUGAGGCAGAAUCUCCAUACACCUCUAACACUUUAAUCUUGCGUUCUAUGGCUGCGCGGAUACCUAUGAUACACGCUUCGUAUUCCGCCAUGUUAUUCGUACAAUCAAAAUUCAAUUUACUAGUGAAUGGAUAAUGAUCUCCGUUUGGGGAUACCAAGACAGCCCCGAUUCCAUUGCCCACAGCAUUUGACGCCCCAUCAAAGUUCAGUUUCCAAGGAAGUCCUUCUGGAUCACCUUCUUCAGCGGUCACAACACACAUUAGGUCUUCAUUCGGGAAGUCGAAGUUUAGAGGCUCGUAAUCUUCCAAAGCACUGCUGGCCAAAAAGUCUGCUAUUGCACUCCCUUUUACGGCUUUCUGGUUCACAUAGACUAUGUCGAAUUCAGAAAGCAGAAUCUACCAUCGGGCUAUUCUUCCAUUCAAGACUGUUGACUCCAUCAUGUACUUUAAAGGGUCCAAUUUUGAUAUGAACCAAGUGGUGUGAUACAACAUAUACUGUCUCAGCCUUCGGGUUGUCCAAAUUAGGGCACAACACAACUUCUCUAUCGGCGGGUACCUUGUCUCACAUUCCGUGAACUUUUUACUGAGAUAGUAAAUAGCUUUUUCUUUCCUUCCUGACUCAUCAUGUGACCCAAUACGCACCCCAUGAAAUUCUUGAAUACUGCCAAAUACAAUAUCAACGGCUUAUCGGGGUUAGGUGGCAUUAGCACCGGAGCAUUAGAUAAGUAUUGUUUGACCUUAUCGAAAGCCCUCUGGUAUUUUUCAUCCCAUUCACCUGGGUUGUGUUUCUUGAGGAGGCAGAAAACAGGAUCACAUUUCUCGGUUAGUUGUGAAAUGAACCGAGCGCUGUAAUUUAAUCUUCCUAAAAAACCUCGAACUUCUUUCUGAGUGCGCGGUGGGGAUAGCUCUUGUAUGGCUUUAACUUUGUCUGUAUCGAUCUCGAUCCCUUUCUCACUAACCAAAAAUUUAAGUAACUUUCCAGACUUGGCUCCAAAGGUACAUUUUGCGGGGUUGAGUUUUAGCUGAAACUUCCUCAACCUCAAGAACAAUUUUUCAGGACUUGUAUAUGCUCCUUCUCUGUUCGAGACUUAGCUAUCAUAUCAUCGACAUAAACCUCGAUUUCAUUAUGCAUCAUGUCAUGAAAAAGGGUUACCAUGGCUCUCUGAUAAGUUGCCCCCGCAUUCUUCAGUCCAAAUGGCAUCACCUUGUAGUAGAACGUGCCCCACAUGGUUACAAAUGUGGUCUUUUCCAUAUCCUCAGGAUGCAUCUUGAUCUGGUUAUAUCCGGAAAAGCCGUCCAUGAAUGAAAACAGUGAGUGUCCUGCCAUGUUGUCCACUAGGGUGUCGAUGUGAGGCAGUGGGAAAUUGUCUUUCGCGCUGGCUUUGUUCAAAUCUCUGUAGUCGACACACAUUCGCACUUUUCCAUCUUUCUUAGGGACGGGGACGAUGUUGGCUACCCAAUCUGAGUAUUUUACCACCUUCAGGAAUCCGGCGUCGAAUUACUUUCGAACCUCUUCUAUUAUUUUUAGCCAGACAUCGGGCCUUAUUCUUCGGAGUUUUUACUGAACUGGCUUACACUCUACUUUUAUGAGGAGUCGGUGCACCACGAUGUCAGUGUCCAACCCAGGCAUAUCUUGGUAUGACCAUACGAAGACAUCUUUGAAUUCUUGAAGUAAUUCAAUGAUGUCUCGCUUCAUCUCCGUAGUGAUACAUGUUCCGAUCCUUACCUCUUGUCCUUCUUCUAAGCUCACAAUUUCAACUGAUUCUUUGUGAGGUAGGAUUUGUUUCUCGUCUUGUUCUACCAUCCUCAACAAAUCAGGAGAUAGGUUAUAGCAUUGGUCAUCUUCAAAAUCCUGAGAAUCAUCUAUACACACAUCUCGUUCGAAAGGAAAUUCUGAGUUGCUAGCAAUGUCACUCGUAUCAUUAAUAUCUGGAGACCUGUUAUGAGGAUGAAGGCAGAUACAAAGAAUCAAAAGAAUUCAAAACAUUUGUUUGCGUGGUAUGAUUAUGAAUGACGAAUGAAAGAAUAUUUAGAAGAAAUGUUUCUAGAAUCAAAGAAUCCAAAAGUAAUCAUUUGUAUGGUAAUGAAAUUGAGAGGACGAGAGAACAUUUGCUCAAAAAUGAUAAUAACUAUGCAUUUUAUUGAAAUAACGUUUUUUAAACAUCGGCCUAUUUCACAAAAGAUUCUUAUUACUCCUAGGCCUAGAGCAAUAAGUGUGUUUUGGACAUUACUCUGAAUCCGCUCUAAAAACUACAGGAAUCUCUUCCGCAGUCCAGUUGUCCAGAACACUUCCAGGUGUGUAGGGGCAAAUGCCCGACAAACUUUCUCUUUCAGUCUCUUCUUCGUAUAUGACGUUGAUGUCUAAGCUUUCUAGCCUUUUCUUCUAUAGCUCACGUCAUUGGCGUGUCUCUUUCGGGAUGAAUGAUUCCCCGGACACAAAUAUUUUUAAUAUAUGGGGGAAUAUCAUUGGUUCCCACUUGAUUUCCUCUCCCGUUAACGGUCUAGCUUGUUAACGGAGAUAUCGUUGGCAAUAUGUGUCUCAUUUAAGACCUUCAUUAGCGCGCUACGAUGAACUUUCGAGCUUAGAAGCAAGGUCAGCACCAAAAUGCGGGCUGGUUGUUUACAUAGCUGUUCCACUACACUGUAUUCGCUAUGCUUUAGAAAUUUUAAAAACUCAUUGGCCUCCUCUUUGUUAACUGGCUCAUUAAUAGGUUUGGUUGCUUUUUCCUUUGUUUCCUAAACCAUUGGGGCUUUUCCUUUUGUGGGUUGUGCCUCCUCAUUUGAUGUAUCGUAACGCCUCCCACUACGUGUAUAGGAAUCCCUGUCUUGACCCUCUUUUAAAGCAUCCAUUAAGCUUUCAUUUCCCGUAAUCAUUACAUUGCAAUCAUAAUUCUACGGGACCUUUUUGUUGUCUUUAUAGGAGAAGACUGCAGAUCUUUGGAUUAUGACCCUUGGUGGCAUUUGAACUCUAGCUUUAUUAUUUUUGGGUCUCAAUAUGAUAACCACAGGAUAGUUGGUCGUUUGACUCUGCGCUACCGAUCCUCCCUCUGAUGCGCAUAUAUUUCCCUCUACCGGGUCUUUGGUUUCUUUAUAGAAUUCUAUUUCCUUAUUGUUCAUCAUGUUUUGUACUAGGGUCCUGAACUCCAUGCAAUCUUGGAUUCAUGCCCCACCUCGUCGUGAAACUCACAGUAGUCUCUCUCUUCUUCGGAUUCUUCCCUCGAAUCCAACGCAAUCAAUCCUCUCUUGGCCAUCUCCUUCCAUACCCGCCUCAACGGGGUCCUGACUUCUGCCACCUCAUACUUGGUCUUCUUGUUCAAGCCUUCACUUAUCCCAUUCACUCCUUGGUCAGUAUGAUCGGGGAGUGGGUUACCUGCUACAUUGGGUGUGGCUGGGUCGUCAAAUCUCACGAUCCCCAUCUUAAUGAGUCUUUCGACUAAUUUUUUAAACACAGCACAGUUUUUUAUAGAGUGCCCGGUGAUUCCCGCGUGGUAUUCACAUUGGGCGUUUGUAUCAUACCAUUUGGGAUACGGGGGCUGCAGUGGCUUCAGGUAGAAAGGGGACACCACAUGAGCGUUAAACAGGUUCUGGUACAACUCCCUAUACGUCAUGGGUAUAGGGGUGAAUUGUGGCCUUUCUGUGUUCUCCCUCGCGUUGGAUUCUUGUUUUACAGAGCUUUGCUGAUUGGUAGUCACCGUCCUGGGUUGAUUUACGGUGAAUGACUUGGACUGACCUUUGGUAGAUGUGCUCGCAUUGUUUACUUCAUUGUCUUUUUUCCUCGGGGCCGACUUCCUAGCACUCUCUCCCGAUUCUAUCUUGCCGCUCCUUACAUAAUUUUUGAUCAUUUCCCUCGUCAUCACUAUGUCAGAGAAGCUUUUUGUGGCGCUUCCUAACAUAUGGGUGAUAAAAGGGGCUUUCAAGGUGUUGAUAAAGAGCAUUGUCGUCUCUUUUUCUAGAAACAGCGGCUGAACUUGUAUGGCCACUUCUCUCUACCUUUGCGCGUACUGUCUGAAGCUUUCAUUUAAUAUCUUCUCCAUGUUCUGGAGAGUGAUUCUGUUAGGAGUCAUGUCCAUCACAUGGUUGUAUUGUUUCAUAAAGGCCUGGGCCAGGUCCUUCCACGAGUUAAUCUUAGAGCGGCUUAAUUGGUUGUACCAAUUAGACGCUGCCCCGACCAGACUAUCUUGAAAGCAGUGGAUUAAUAGCUGGAUAUUGUUAACAUAUCCCGUCAUUCGCCUGCAGAACAUAGUGAUAUGAGCUUCAGGGCAACUUGUUCCAUUGUAUUUCUCGAAUUCGGGCAUUUUGAAUUUAGGGGGAAGAACUAAAUCUGGGACCAAACUUAGGUCAUUGGCAUCAAUCCCUUGAUGAUAAUCCGCGCUCUCUAUGGCUUUGAAUUUCUCCUCAAGCCAUCUAUACCAUUCUUCCAAUUGUUUUUGCGAAUCUAUCAUCACUUUUUCUUCUUCAGCAAUUUCAUCCAAAUCGGGAACGGGCGGAUAGUUCGGGUUGUUGACAAAGUUAGAGCCUGAACCGAUUUGGAAAUUCAUCGGUAUUGAAGCUCCGGCCUAAACCUGCUGGGGCAUGAUCGUGACAGAUGGUUUCGGUAGGUUAAUCUCGGGCUUCAUCGUUACAUGUAUCGGAGUGAAGCCAGGGGGUAUUGAGGAUUUUCGUUAGUUUCUUCAAUUUUGUCCAUGGGGCCCUUUCCCUUAUCCGUUCCUCCCAACAGCAAUUGGGAUAACUGACUCAUCAUUUCCCUCUGGGACUCCAUCAUUUGUUCUUUCAUCUCUCGCUGAAUCUUGGCUAGCUGCUCUUGUAUCUAGGACUGUAUUUGUUCUUGCAUGUCAUUUUGUAUCUGCUCCAAUUUCUCGAGUCUCUUAUCCAUUGAUUUUUUCAUCGUACCGUAGGGGUGUGUGGUUGGUUGGUUUUCAUUGGUUUCCAGGUUACUGAAAUAAUUUUUAAUUAAUUAAUUAGAAAACUCUUAUGGCCUUUAAUGCAUAAUGAUAUGAUGCAAAUGCAAAUGCAUGAAUGCAAAGAAGGUAUCAAUUUUGAUUCAAUUGCCCUUAGAAAAUUUCACUUGAAAAUAAAAUCUUUUACAUAAAGUCGAGUUACAAAUAAAAUUUCACUCUAACACUCAAAGUCCUAAUUUUUCUAAGCAAUGAGGCCAGCUCUUGUCCGCGCUCCGACUCCAACUCAUAUUUCAUGCUUAGUGUGUCUGCCUAAACCGCUAGAGUUUACAAAUAGUCCGCUACCUCCCGAAUCUGGGUUAUGGCCUCCCCCAUGAGGUAAUCUCUAUUUCUGACUUGGUCUAGCGCAUAGUGAAGCUGCUCUUUCCAACGAUCCUCGUUUGCAUCUAAAAGCAGGACCCACAUCUCACAGUUUUGCAGUGACACCUCUAACUCUUCUAUUUUUCCUUUCAUUUCUUUUAUCUUGCUCAAGCUUGCCCUCAACUCUAUUACGAUGCUGCGAUUUCGGUACUGAUGUAGAGACUUCUCGAGUUCUGCCACUCUAGCCCUUAAUUCACCUCACUCAUUUCUGCUCUCCGACAUACUCUUCUUUAAAUCUUCGUUUCAUGCCUGAGCUUCUUGGAAUUUCUUUUCCCAUCGGUCGGUAUUGGCCUUUUCCUCUCGAAUUUCAUGGCUCCAUUGUUCGGAAGUCUUUCCUAACCCCGCAGUCCUCAUAGAUAGCUGCAGCUUCUUAUAGUCCGUUUUCAAGCUGUCUAGAUCAUCUUCGGCCUUAAUUUUUCCUUUUCUCCACUUCUCAGCCUCUGACCUUUGGACAUCAGCGUCUAACCUUGGUGCAUAUUUUCUUCCUCCAAUUGUUCGAUCUUCUUCCCAAGCUCCAAACUCUUCUUCUUGAAAUCUUGCCUUAUAAUUUCCAAUUCUGAUGGGGCGACUUGUAAUUGUUCUCCGAUAGGUCGAGCAUUUUCCAAGCUUGGCCUAGGAAUAUUAUCAUUAAUCCUAUUCUUAAACCACUCGCUAUACUUGGGCGUUACCAUGGAACCGACGGCUAAUCUCUUCAUCCAACAAGUUUACUUUCAGGCAUCUGAUAACUCCCGAACUCUCUUCUUAUAAUGAGCACCCUUAAAAGAGAAUUCACUCUGAGCAAGUCCGUAGGUCGUGGGUACAAACUGCCUCGACUUAUAUUGCCUCAAGGCUAUCAACGGAGUAUACCCGGUAGCUCCCCAAAUUCCUAACAAUAGCACCCAAUCGAAGUUACCACAUCGGUACAUGAUCUCAUCAAGAACCAUCCAAUAAGCUCUCCACUCGAUCUCCCCCUCCUUGAGGUUUUGAAGAAUGUCCAUCCACUUCUCCUCCGAGAUAUCCUCUUUCCUCUGUAUAGUUGCCUCUUCUUUUAACUGGGAAUAACUUUCAGAAAAGACCCGAUAGGAAACCUUGUCUACCUUCCAAAAGUGCCCGUGAAACCAUGCCAUCAACAACUAUGCACAUCCAAUAAACCGCCCCUCGCCUGCCUUCCGACAUGAGCUCAAAGAUCUGAACGUUUCUGCCAAUAUCGCCGGUACUGGUGUGAUUCCCUUUUCAAGACGAUCGAACAAGUCAAUGACUGCCUCGUCCACGUGCCUCAACACCUUAGGAAAAAUCACUAAUCCGUAGAUGCUUAAGGCAAAUAUAUCGACCCUCUUUCUUUCAUCUGGAUGCGUCAAGAUCAAAUCUCGCAAAUUCUCCCAAAGGAUACAUUUGCUAUCUCCCUUUUGCUGAAUCCGAGCAGUGACCCAAGGCUCACUCAUCCCAGAAAUGCUCAUCAGCUUCUUCACGAAAGUCUGACUACUAAAAACUCAGGCAUAAGUCUUCCGGACCUGAAUCUUUGGACACUUAAGCAGCGUAGUGUAUUCCUCCAUGGUAGGUACCAAAUCCACUUCUCCAAAAGUGAAACACUUGUGCGCAGAAUUCCAAAACUGCACCAAGGCUCGGAACAAAUUCUUAUCCACUCUAACGUCUAGCAAGUCGGAUAUGUCACUAUAGCUUUGGUAAAACAACUGCUUGAUCCCUUCAUCCCAACUAGCCUAAAUGUCUAUCAACUCUUGCAACUCAUUCUGUACUACAUUGACGUGAGUGAAAUCCUGCAGCUCCGAUACAUACCCUUCUGCCAAGCUAUCCCCUCUCUCUGAUUGUAGCCUCUCCGACCAUGCACGAACGGUCGUGUUAUCCUCGACUUUACUAAGAAAUUCAUUCUCCAUGUCAAACUUCUAACUUAGUAAUUGAAUACGGAUUAACACCUCCUUUAGUAUGCAAUGUCAUGCAAAAAAGACAAUCAAAACAAAACACCGGUUAGUACCAAAUAAUAGCGAUAGAAUGCAAGAACAUAAACAAUAACUAUAACGCAUAUACAAGUAAGUACUAAGACUCGACGCGGCUUCACCCAAGGAUAGCUCCUAAGGUUCACUACAUGUGGUUUAGUUCUAGGGAUAAGGUACCCGAACCAACAGAUUCCUCAAUCUUCACCAAUUAUAGGCUCAUAUAGAUCGAGUUCGGUUCGGGGGGAUACAUUUCCCUAAGACCAUGCGGAGAUGAAAACCUCACGAAAUCAUAGGUACGGAUGUACCCCAGAAGCAAUCCACUAGCUCAUGCAGAGGUGAAAAACCUCACGAAAGCGCUCAAUCUUCACCCAUUAUAGGCUCAUAUAGAUCGAGUUCAGGUCGGGGGGAUACAUUUCCCUAUGACCAUGCGGAGAUGAAAAUCUCAUGAAAUCAUAGGUACGGAUGUACCCCAGAAGCAAUCCACUAGCUCAUGCAGAGGUGAAAAACCUCACGAAAGCGUAGUUUCUUACUUCCACUUAGAAGGUGUGACCACAGUGGUCGUGAAAUGAAAUGCAGCAUUAUUCUACAAGACCCAUACCGAAACAAUCAUACAAUCAAAUGCAAUCGAAAGACACGUUAUUUUUAAAACAAAUUUUGAUUUUUGACAAAAGGACAGCAAAUAAACGAUUUUAUGGCUCAACUUUCUAGCGUCCCCAGCGGAGUCGCCAAGCUGUCAAAACCAUCCCUCAAUUUAAAAAUUUUGAAUUUUUUUUAAAAAAAAGGGGGGAAAGUCGACUUUUGAAAAAUAAAUACAUGGAGUCGCCACCGAUCUUUUGUUUUGGUGUGAUCAGAUCACCUAAAAAUGAGGUUAGUUUAAUAAAACAUUUUUGGUUUAUUAAAACACCAACUAUGGUCUACGAAAAUUUUAGAAAACGGGCUCGGGAGUCGGUUACGUAUGAGGAAGGGUUAGUACCCUCACUACGCCCAAAAUUGGUACCAAAUCGAUUAAAUACUGUCCUUAUGUCUAAAAUUAAAAAUGUUUUUGAAAUGUGGUUCUUUUUUAAUAACAUUUGAAUAACCCGAGUUGAUUGUCAAAAAUAUUCUUGUUUCGACGUCCGAAAAUUUAUAAUUUGAAAAUCACAAAAGGGUGCUCAAAUAUUUAGUCCAACGGAACACCGAAACCCAGCACAGUAGGGCACGAUUCCUCGAAUUUCCAAACAUCAAAUAUAGCCUUUGUUUUAAAGGGUUUUCUUAAAAAACAUGAGUGAAAACCUAAAGGAAUAUUCGAUUGUUUUGAACUAACGAGAAAUCACAACCCAGCACGAUAGGGCAUGAUUCUCGAAUUGUCAAACACCGAGUAUUGCCUUCGUUUUAGAGGAUUUUUAAAAGACCUUAAUGGAAUCUUAAAGGGAUAUUUGAUUAUUUUGAGCAAAUGAGAAAUUGCAACCCAACACGUUAGGGCACGAUUCCGCGAAUUGCCAAAUAUCAAACUUUGCCUUCGUUUUAAAGACUUUUUAAGAGGUAUGAGUGAAAGUUUGAAGGGAUAUUCGAUUAUUUUGAGCAAACGCGAAAUUGCAACUCAACACGUUAGGGCACUAUUCCGCGAAUUGCCAAAUAUCGAAUCUCGUCUUCGCUUUAAAGAAUUUUUAAAUGAAUACUUGUAAAACUAGCUUAAAACGCAUUGAUUUGAUUUGAAAUAAGACGAAAUUGAUCACAAAAUUUGGGUUUUAUAAAACCACAUUUCAAAAAUCAAGUGUAGAACGAUGAAUGAGGUAAUAUGUGUAUGCAUAAAAAUACGACAAUUAAAAAUGAAAAUAAUACAAUCAACUACAAGAACUUAAAUGAAUAAGCAUAACUAGCUUGGAAACAUAACCCAAUUUCAAUCAUGCAUGGAGAAUAAUAAACAUGGUGAUAUGAAAUAAUGAACAAAUGAAUAAUGCAAACAUAAUUAUGGCAUAACAAAAAAAUGAUUACUAUUAGAUACACAAAACAAAAUGCAAAUCGGAGAAGCAAUAUGGUAUGAGAUCAUUUUAAAACAAUGAUAAGUACUUAAUAUAGAUUUUAUAUAAUGAAUUAAUGGAUUUUAAAAAAAAAACUAGAGGUAUGUAAUUGUUUAAAUGUGCAUUAUAGAAUAGAGAUUUUUAAGGUUAAAUAGUAUGCAAGGUGUUAAAAAUAUAAAAAUAAAUACGCACAAUAAAGAAGAAUUUAAUGAUGUAUAAAAAUAUGAAAAUAGUAUUAAGAUGUGAGAUUCUAAAUCAAAAUAGUAUGUGAGAAAAUACGUUCUAAAAACAAUUUAUAUACAUAAGGAUAUCUAUAUAGUAAAAUUUAAAAAACUUCAUAAAAUAAAUUAGAUAUGACUUAAAACGUACAUAGAAUUAAGUGAAUUUUAUUAUGGAUUAUAUAUAUAUAUUAGUUUUAAGAAUAUACUUAUAUAUAUAUAAAACUAUAUGCAUAAAAUAACAAGGAUUCAAGGGUAUAUUUAUAAACCAAAUAUACAUGCCAAUACAUACAUAUACAUGCAUAAUAAUCAAUUGAAUAAUAUUUAAAACAUGCAUGCAAAAUGUAAUAUGAUAACAAAAAUGUAUGAAUGGAUUUAAAGUCAUGUAUGAAAUAAAACAACUUUACUAUAGACUAUGUAUGAGUAUAUAUAUAUUAGCGUAUAUACAAAAACAUUUUUUUUAAAAAAGGAUAGCAUACGACAUGACAAUUCGAUUGCCGCAACUAUAACAAAUAAGUAGGUGAUAUAGAUAAUACGGUUAACGCGAAUGAACAAAUUCGAAUAAAGUAUAAAUAACAUGGAAUGAAUCUAAAAAGAAAACUAAUUGAAGUCACAUUAAAAUGGAAGGAUAAUUCGCAAAUACAAAUAAGGGCCAGCACAUAAUGUAUACAAAUAUACAAGGAUCAAAACUGGAAUUAUUCCAGACUCCAAAACGUUGUGUACAAGUGCGGGCUAAAGUGCAAACGCAUGCGAAUCGCAAGGGCAAUUUUAAGAAAAUGAAACACAAAUGUGAGCUGAUUGAACUGAGGCGCGAAGAGAGAGGGACCGAGGUUGAGAAUAUCCCAUCAGCGACCAGACACGCGGAUCUUGAGCGUGUGCGGGUCGGGUCAUCGGGUUGUAGCCUUGAACAUAGUCGUUUUGAGGCCAUUAAUUUGGCCUAAAAUGGUGACGUACAGAGGUCCCUUAUAGCCACCGAAGUAAACCCUAAUAUGUUUGCAACCAUUCACAAAAAAAAAGAAAAAAACUAAGACUCUCUCUCAAUCCUCCACCGACCAACAACCUUUCGAAGGUCUGUUCCUCUGCCUCUCCUUUUGACUCACACGAGAGUCAAUCAAGGCUUCCUCGAGUCGAAAGAUUCGUGAGUCUUGCUUAUAGCCCCAAAUCGCCACUUAGUUUCAAUCAUGGUGAAACAAGCGUGGAUUCGAAGGCAUCAAACGCAGGUAAGUGUCGUUUCCUCUCUUUUUUUUGUUAUUUACAUUCGAUCAAAAAAGGGUAAACGAGAAGGUCAGAGAGAAACAAGUGACAGGAAUUGCGAAUAAAUCACAUUUUUUCGUCUAUUGCUUUUCUAUUGCGUAUAUUGUCAGUGUUGGUAUUUGUAACCUUUACAACCAUUAAAGAUCCUGGCUUUAUAGCCGAAAAGAAGAAGGAAAAAUAAUAAAAAUAAAUCAAAAGAAUUCGAAAUUUGUUUUUUGCUUUUUUCUGCUCUAUGCUGCUGUUGCGUUUGUCUUGUUUGCAGGUACGGAGCAAGGCGCGUGUACGGGGGUCGUGUUGGCGCUUGCCAUGGGCGUACGAGGGCUGUUGACGUGGAGGCACGAGCGGCGAUUGGGCUGUACGGUGGCUGAAGGCUGCGGCGCCUCUGCUGCUAGGACUAGGGUUUGGUGAAAUUUGUUUAGCAUUUGGGCUGUUUGGGCUCAUUUCGAGUGUUGGGUUAGUCUUUGGGCAUGGGGUUUUAAUCAUUGGGUCUAGGUAUUGGGCUUGUAACAGGACAUUAAUUAAUGAACUUUGUUUUUGUUUAUUCAUUUUGUAUAUAAAUUUAUAUAUAGGGUUUUUAGCGAGCCCGGGCCAAAAUUGGUCACUACAUUGGGUUUUAACAUUCAAGGUAUAUUUUUAAACGAAUCGGUUUGGACAAAAUUUGAAGUUAUUUUUAUUUCGAGUUGAACUAGACUUGGACAAACAUAAAUUAUAUUAACAUCAGUGAUUUAAUAACAGGAUCGGUAGUUGAACCGGUCAGACCAUUGGUUUGACAAUCCAACAAUAAUUAAAAAAUUCUCAAAAAUAUUAAGCAUUUAUAAAACCGGUUCAAAUACCAAUUUUUUGUCCCAACUUCUGUUUUUCUAUCAAUUUUGAGCAUUUUGUCACAAGUUAGUUCAACCCCUAUGUGUCAGAGUAUGCCCAAAGACCAAUCAUAAGAUGAUUAUAAUCACAUACUUGUUUUACCUUAUUUGUUAAUAUAAGACAUUGUCAUUGUUAUUUUAGUUUCUUUUUCUAUGUGUGUAAAUGAACUGAUUAAUAACAAAGUCUUGAGAAUAAUAUGAUAAUUCUUAAAAGGUCCUUAGUCAAGUAUUAUUGUGGGCUUGGACAAUAAUAAUGCAUUGAGACUAAUGUGUAGUUGAUUGAUGACAAAGUAUUGUCAUUGACAUAGGGAUGUCAAAAUCAAUACAUGAGAAUAUGUUAGAGAACGACAUAUUGGACUGACCCAUUAUGAGUAUGUUUCUUGAAUUAUUAUGUAAUAGUCACAACAUUACUCAUAGUGAUAACUAUGUCUACAAUCCUCAGACUUGAGAUCAUCAUUGUCCUAAUAUCGUGAGUUGUAUAUUUUGAUACAGUCAAAUGUCUACUGUAAUAGAUUGUACUAUAAAGACUGAUGUUGGGUAUGCCACAAUCUUUGCAGUGGGAUAUUAUUGAUCAAGAUAGGAUUUGUCCCUCCUACAUAAUGGGAGCAAUAUUUAGGCCACUUGAUGGAGUGAGACUAGAAAUGUAUGGCCAUAUUUAGUUUAUAUGAGAUACCACACUUAUUUGUUUAUUGUAGUCUACUCAGAAUAUCAAGAAAUAUGAGAUUGGACUAUACAAGUGUAAUUAUUCUAUGACCUAUGUCCAAUCUAGAUAUAAAUGAUAAAAUGAUAUAAUACAUGAAAAAUUUUAUCACAAAAAGGUUAUGUCGAAUCAAGACUUUUUAUAACUUGGGUAGCAAUGACGUAUUGCUAGAUGCCACUCAUUACUUGUGAAAUUAAAAAUGUUCUAGUAUUACUACUAACAUUACAAGAGUCUACAAGGUCACACCCUAUGGUUGAAGCGAACAUAAUCCAAACACAGUUGGUAUUUGACAGUUAAAUAUUGAAUGUAUUAUAUAUACAAACUUAUUGUACACGAAUAGAGAACAUAGUUAAAAUUAAUAUAUGAAUUUGAUUCAUAUAUAAAUAUUAACUAAAUAUAGUUUACAUAAAUUAUUAAAAUAAAUAGUUAUAAUAAAAAAUUUGGUCAAAGAUGAAAACAUGGAAGUUAAUAUUCUUUUAGAAAGAAUAUAAUGUUUUAAUACUUUCCACAUGUUUCUCCAAAGGAAUGGUUUCAUUUUUUUUAUGUGAUAUUAAAGAAAAAAGAAUAGAAUCCCUAAUAGUGUGGAUGUUUCCAAGAAAAAAAGAUUAAAGAGGAUCUAACAACCAUUUAUUAUAUUAUUCUCUCUGAAAGGUUUAAUGAGAGUUUUAUUGUUUGUUCUUUAACUGGGUGGACUACGUAGAGGUCGAGACGUUUUUGUUGUGGCUUGGGAUCGAUAUUGCGCAAGGGGGACAGAUUGAAACAGGUAUAUCUUCAACCUUGUUUCAACCUGAUUCGUUUCUUGUACUUGGAUCUAUAGUUGUUGAUUGUUGAUUUUUUUUUCGUUGCGCCACAAGGCAUACCAAUAUUCCAACACUAUGUCUAUACCGAUAUACUGACUAAUUCUUUUAUUCAAUCAAUCCGAUUGACUAAUUCAUUACAAUACAUAGGCUUAAUCUAAAACUGACCCCACUACUGUAAAAGAUUUGGCAUGUGAGGAAUUUUAUUUAUUUAUUUAGUUGUGCAAUGAGUGAAGGAUUGAUUUUGCUUUCUCUACUUUAUCUUUGGCUUGAAUUGGAAGUUUGUUGCUUAUAAGAUAAUGUUAGUGUCUUAAAGCAGAUACAAGACAUCACCAUUUAUUGGCCCUAUUUACAUUGUCAAUCACUUUCCCACAUUCACCCUCCAUUGUACGGACAAUGAAGUUUUUAAUUAAGUCUCAUUUUGCCUUACCUAAGCAUGAAGUGGCAUUAACCCUUCAUUAAUAAUUUUAUUAUUUCUAAAAAGUGUGUUUAUAAAAUUUUGGUUUUCAUAGUUUUUUCUUUAAUUUCACAUCAUUUCAUCAUCUAUUUUUAUGAUAUUAGGUGGGUUCAGAUUAAUAAAAUUUUUAAUUGUUAAGAGGAAGGGUGAAGUUAGAAAAAAAAAUUAGGAGUUGAGAUAAAAUUAUAAAAUUUUAGAAUGGUAGAACUAAAAAUUUUGUAUUAGAAAUGCUAUUAAUUUUUAGAAAGGUUAAAAAUAAUUUUUUUCUUUUUUAAUUAAUAGAUAAAAAGGCCUAAAUUAAUAGUUUUAUGUUUUUAGAGGGGCUUAAAAGAAAAUUUCACAUUUAGCCAAGAAGGCCUUAAUUAUGGCUUAUUGCUAACAUUAUAAAGGUAAAGGAUCAAAGUAUGUCAAAUCAUGUUAACAACAGUAGUUAACACUAUCGUAAAUUUGGACUAACUAUUAACAUUGUAAAAAUAGAGUGACCUGAUUAUGUCAAAUUAAUGUAAAUAGAUUAAAUUUCAGAUUUCAACAUAGUAGAAGGACUGAAACUAGAAAUAGACGAGGAACAAAUAUUUAGGGAUUUUGGGUGUACAUUGUGAGCUUGCUGUGGCAAACAAGAGGGCGACUGGUAGGAAGGCCCAUGGGGUCCAAUAAUUCCCAAAACAUUUGUAAAAGGUCUAAUUUUGCCCACAAUCCCACUACUCUUCAAACUUUUGCAACUGGUCCCCCCUACUUUAAUUUAAGGAAUGUACAAUCCCACUACUCUUCAAACUUUUGCAACUGGUCCCCUCUACUUUAAUUUAAGGAAUGUAAUGUUUCUACCUGUAUAAUUCAAAAAUUAAAAUGCCGUCGAUAGCAAAUAUUCAAAUUUAAUAGAAGUUAAUUAAAUAAUUUUUAUCAAUUGAACUUUAAUUUUUAAAUUAAACCUUUAAAUAUAAAAAAAAUCAUAUAAUCAAAUUUAAUGAAAAUUGAAAAUUCGUUAUCAUCGUUAUCAAUUAAACUUUGAUUUUUAAAUCAAACAAGAAAAAUAAUUAAAUUAUUAAAAAAAUACAGAAGGAAAAAAAUUCAAAAAAAAUCAAAAAAUAAAAAUUCGAAAGAUACUUUAAUUAUAGAUUUAAUUUUAGCUCAAUUAAUAUUAUUAUUGUUAUUUUAUAAAUAUGAAUUCAAACACACUAAAACGCGUUCGAAAAGGGUAUGAUAAUUUGGGUAUUAUGACACACCAUCCAACUAAUAGAUUCAUUUACUCCAAAAUUCACCUUAAAAUUAAAGAGAAAGAACGAAGGAAAAGUGAUAAAAGCUAUCACAAAAGGAUUACUCCUUUUGUCCUCUAAGACGGUGAUACACAACUUAAGUUAGAUUAGAUUUAGGAUGGGUUUGGAUUGAUGUUGGAGUACGGUACGUGUAGUUUAUUUUUUGUUUUGCGCUACAAUAUCGUUACAAUAUUUAAUUUCAUUAUCAUUGCUAUUUUUACACUAAUCGUAAGUAAACGCACCACCCAUCCAAAUCCAUUCUUAAUAUCUAAUCCAUAAAUUAAUUUUCAUUUUUCUUUAAUUUGAAAAUGCAAAUUGUUAGAAAGAAAUUUUUUAAAUCCAUAAAUAGAGUAAAAAUAUAGUGUGUCUCAAUUAUAUAUAUAUUAAUUUAAAAUAUAUCAUAAGUUUCUGUAUUAUUUGUAAAUUUAAAAUUUAGUCUCUGUAUUUUUAUUUUUAGGAAUUUAGUCUUUUUAAUUUUUAUAUAUUAAAAUUUAGGUCCAAUUGUUAAUACUAUUAAGUUUUUUUUUAAUUUUAAAAUGCAAUACCAACAAAUUUAAAACAAAAAAAAUGACAGUGUUAACAAUUGGAUCUAAAUUUUGAAAUAUAGAAAGUUGACAACGUUGGGUUUCGGAAAAUAUUUUCUAUUUUCAUUUUUUUAUUUUUUAAAUUGAAAAACACGUUUGAUAAAUAAAAUAAAAAUUUGUUUUUAAUAAUGGAAGCAUAAAAACAUGUUUAAUAACUAUUUUUCUGUAAUCGAAAUAAAAUAAAAAAAUUUACACUCUGUAUGGAUUCAAACCAAAGUACAAGAUCUAAUAUUAGAAAAACUAUUGAAAAAAAAUAUUUUUGAGUUUAUAAGGCUUUGAACCAUAGUCAAUUAAUUUGAUAUUAAAAUUUAUUAUUUUCAUCAUUUUCACUUUUACAAAGCAUUUUAUAAUAAAAAAAUAAAAAAAAUUUAAUUGUUUUUUAAUUUUCACAUAUUUUUCAUUUUCCUCAAAUCAUUUUUAAAAAUUUCAACAUUUUCUUCAAUAAAUUUCAUUUUCAAAGAAAACAAAAAUAAAUGAAACUAAACAAAAUUUUGAGACCAAUAAAAGUACAAAAACUAAAUUUUAAAUUUACGAGAAUUAUAAAAUUAUAUUUUUAUUUCUUAAAUAUACAAUAAUAAGCCUUUUUAAAUCUGAUUAUAAUGUAAAAAACUCCGGCCGUCAAUCUAUCAAAUAUUAAAUCAUAUUCUUUCUUCUUUUCUCUAUUAAAAAAGAAGGGAAAUUCAACAUUUCAAUGCACAAACAUGAUCAUCGGCAACAAUGGCAAACAAGAGUAGAAAAUAAUAAAACAACAACAAAUUUGAAAAUUGAAAAUUGAAACAAAAGGGCUAAUAACAAACUACAAAGUUUGUUUUGCUCACAAAUAGUACAAAAAGAACAGACAUUGAUAAUUUUUUUUUUUUGUAUCAGACCAAUGUACAUGAAAACGAAGGCAAAAAUUUUAAAAAAAAAUAAAAUUUGGGGUACAUACACACCCCUAAAUAUGUCCAAAAGCUGCUGCUGUGAGUCUCUGCAUAUCCUUACCACAUAUGUCUGGAUUUUGUAAAGGUUCAUGUUGUAGUGGUAGCUGCUGUUGUUGGGUCUGAGGCCACCACAUAUCGUUUGAUGAUGAUGAUGAACUAUUCGUUAAGUAACAAGGCUCUGAUUUGAUCUCGAUAUUGUAAUAAGAUUGUGGGGUUUGAUUUUGUAAAGCAGCCGCCAUUAAUAAAGGGUUAUUAAGAAACUCAGUCCAUUUGGUUUCUUCUUCUUCUUCUUCUUCUUCUUCUUCAGUUUGUGUUUGAACCAAUCCCCAAGUUGAGUUAUUGGCUGAGCCACCGGUGGUGGUUCCAUAGUAUAAGGGUCCAUAAGAGGCGGUCAUGGGCGGUGGAAAUUCAGGGUUGAACCAGUUAGAGGAGAGCUGUGGUGGUGGUGGGGGCGGCGAUGUAUAUUGAUGAAUUGGAUGAUGACCCACCAAAGAUGGCUUGUUGCUUCCACUUCCUUCGCCAUUUUCGACCUCGGAGAGUGGCUUGUGAGUGACAGGGUCGAUGCCUUUCUGUUUAAGCUUCUUUUUCAAACAGGAGUUCCAUAGGUUCUUGAUUUCAUUGUCGGUUCUUCCUGGUAAUCGUGCAGCAAUUUGAGACCACCUAAUUGAAAACCGAGAAAAACCCAGAAUUCUCCAUAAAAAUCCCAAUAAUAAGAAGAAGAAACAUAUAUAUAUAUGUGUGUAUAUGUAUAUGUAUAUGUAUAUACCGAUUCCCCAAAACUGCAUGAAGUUCAAUUAUGAGAUUUUCUUCUUCUUGUGAAAAUGUGCCUCUCUUUAAAUCAGGCCUUAAAUAAUUAAUCCACCUCAACCUGCAACUCUUCCCACACCUCUGUAACCCUGCCAAAUCAUCCAUAUUUUUUUAUAAACAAUUCAUCAACACAUACAUGCAUACAUACAUAUAUGUAUAUGUAUAUGGUACCUACCAGCUUGUUUAGGGAUGGAGCUCCAGCAACCAUGGCCAUACUUUGUAAUAUGCCUUAAAAGCUUUUCAUCUUCUUCAGGGGACCAAAGACCUUUCCUAAGCUUUUGCUUGUAACAACAAGAUUGCCUUCCCAUUUUUGAGACCAGACCAAAGUUACAAUGAGUAUAAGAAAAAGAUACAGACAGAACAGAACACACACUUCACUGAUUCCUAGGUGGAAAAUUUGUCAGAUAUCAAACAACCAUGUUUUCUUUUUUGCAUAUUAGAAUGAAAGAUUGUGGAUUUUGGUUAAGGAGAAGCAAGAAAAAUGAAGAUGUUGCUUAGAAAAGGGCGUCGAAUUAAUAUAUAAGAGAGAGAAAAGGCGCAUUCAAAUAAGCCCCCCCCACCUCUUUUUAUUUAUUUAUUUAUUUAUUAUCAUUCUAUCAUAUGGGGUCGGAGAUGAGUUAAACCGAGUUGCAUGUGUCUCACCAAAAGAACUGCGAUUGAUGUCUUCUCCGGUGGGACAUUUUUUUUAUUAUAAAAAAUUCAUCCAUAAAUUAUUAAUUUUGUUUUAAUUUAAAAAGAUAAUAUCAAUAAUAAGUAAGAGUACAAUAUAAUAUAAAAUUAUCAACCAAUUUCAGACAUUAAGCUAGAAACCUCAGCCAUCAUAAUGUCAUGCACUGUUCAAUAAGGUUCUUCAAAAAUCCUCAAUACAACUCUUGUUAUAGUCAAACUCGUCAUACUAUUCACCACAUAAUUCUUUAUGCCUCAAGACAUGAUUCACACGAAAAUCCUUUAUCUGUUGCAAACAUUCCCUCACUCUAUUCCAUAGUUAACUUUGAUCCAGAGUUUGACCAUUUAAGAAAUUAACUGUUUUUAUACAAUUUAUCUCAAGGAUCUCGAAGUCUCAAUAGAUUAGCUUCGAACAUUUUUCGUCAGGAUGGAGGGAAAGGAGGCAUUGUAGUUUACUUUCGAAAAUAAAAAUUUUCAUACAAGGGGUUUAAUUUUUAAGAAAUUAUUAGUAUAACCCCUAAAUUUUUUUAUUCAUUUCUAAUCCAUAAAAACAAAUUUUGGCCCCUGAUUUCCCCCCUUUAUCAUUAUCUGAAAAUGGAAAUGCAUUGUUGACAAGGACAAUCACCAUAAAUGAGAAACAGAGCAAAGCUGCUAUCUUUUUCAUAUAUACAUAUAAAUACAUACAUGUACAUGUACAAUAUUGAAAGUGACUACGUAGUUUGUAUUUUAUGAAAUCAACCAACAUAUUUUUCAGUAACAUGAACUGCAACAACAGCUAUCAGGUUUAUCAGCAAGGAAAAUUAUAGCCCAACCCCACCAUUCUUUUUGGUACAAUAUGACUUUAUACAUCACCCUGAAAAGCUCAGACUUUAAUGGUGGAACGUGUCAUUAAGUUUAGCGGGACUAGUUAUAAUUUUCAAAAAACAUAAAUAUUUUAAAAAACUCAAAUGAAAUUUGCCAAAAAAUUGAGGGAGGGGGAUUAGUUAAAAUUUUUAAACACUUUGAGAGUAUUGAAGGGAGCUAAUUAAAAUUUUUUAAAAAAAUUGAAGAGCAUAAUGAAAAUUUUUCAAAUUUUAGGCAAAAUUCCAAAUCAUUAGCUGUCUUAAAAGGCAUGGCCCGCAUUGAAAUGUAAAAUCCGUUGGAAUCUUUAAUAUAAUUAUUAUUAACAAACCGAUCAUUGACGGCAGGGCAGGCAUUAAUUCACACGUUCUAUAGACAUUAAACAAAAAAAAAAGGUCAGAAUUGUAGUUUUAGUCCCUCUAUUAUGUUGAGGUUUACGGCUUAACCUCUACUUUAAUUUGGAGUAAUAGAUCCAAAUUGAUAACAUUCUUAAUUGCUACCGAUAAAAUGUUAACUUCUAAUUGAUAGCAAUUCUAAUAGUGUUAACAUAUUCAUAAAAUUUUAUUUCACCUCUUUAAUAAUAACAGAUCAAAUUAUAUUAUAUUAAAGGUUCAAAUAUUCAUAAAUUUUUGUAUUUUUCCAAAAGUUGAAAUUUAGUCCUUAUAAUUUUAUUUUUAAGAAUUUAACCUCUCUAUUUUUUAAAUUUUAAAAUGCAGGUUCAAUGGUUAAUAAUAUUAAAAUUUUAAAAUCUAAAAAGUAAAGAGAUUAAGUGUGGGUUUAGAUAAAUAGAGCGGUGCGUUUAACUUAUUUUUUAUCUUAUAUUACAAUAUUUAAUUUCAUCGCCACUGCAGUUUUACAUUAACCGCAGAUAAACGUAUCAUUCAUCCAAACCCACCUUAAAUUCUAUAAAAUAAAAAUGCAUAAACUAAAUUCUAAAAAAUAUAAAAAAAGAAAAACUUAUGACAUAUUUUUAUCCUAACCCAAAUUAAAAUAAGAGGGUGAGAUGGGAUUUAGGGUUGGACGUCCAUUAAGUUUGAAGGGGGUCCCAUGCAGGAGACUGAAGCUUGGGAUCAAUGGUUGAUGCCGACAUGAAAAGGGUAUCAUCUGAUUGAUCAGACGGUUGAGAACAAGUUGAUGAAGUCAAUUGUUGUGCGUGCAAAAUCGUGGAGGGCCAAUUAUAUACGAACAUAUGCAUACAGAUAUCAGAUCUCUAUGCCAUCUUUAUGGGUUCCAGAAUGUCUCAAAUUAAAUAUAUAAAUUGUGAAUUUAAUCUUUGUUUUUUUUUUAAUUUCACAAAUUUUAGUUUAUAUAAUUUUAAAUAUUAAAAUUUUUGUUCUAUCCAAACGAUAAAAUUUAAAGUUAUUAGGUCAAAUAUUGCUAUUAGUUUCAUACUAUACAAAAGUUGUGGAUUCAAACAUUGUUCUCGAAUUUCAUCAUUUUUAGUAUUUAAAAAUUUUGUAUUAGGUAUUAAUUCAAAUGGUAGCCAUUAAAUUUACUAACUAAAAUAGUGAGACUUUUUUGUAAGUAUUAUAUGAAAAUAAUAAGCUAGCAUGAUACUACACUUGUGGUAAUAUAUUUGCCGCAUAAAAUUUUGAAAAUAGUAGAAUUUAAUUGCUACUACUUGGGUUGAGCUAGAAUUUUGAAAUUCAAAAAGUAUAUAGACAAAAAACGAUCAAAUUAAAAUACAAGGAUUAAAUUCACAACUAAUAACAUAAUUUGACCUAUUUUCAACCAUGUUCUUCACUGUUCUAUACAUAACAUAGUGCAAUUACAAAUAACUAUUACAAAACAUAACAUACGAAUAAUUGGAUAAAACCCAAUCAUGACAUAUGCAUAUAUUAGGACUAGAGACCUACAUAUCAUAAAUGCAUAUGAUAAGACUCAAAUUUAGGAACCAAUACAAAACACAAUGUAUGAAUAAUUGGAUAAAGUCCAACCAUGGCAAAUGCGCACAUGUUAGGAUUGAAGACUCACACAUCAUAGAUACAUAUGAUGAGACUCAAAUUUAGGAACCAAUACAAAACACAACGUAGGAUAAAAUUCAACUAUGGCAAAUGCACACAUUUUAGAAUUGAAGACCCACACAUAAUAAAUACAUAUGAUGGGACUCAAAUUUAGGAUUCAAUAUACAAAAUGAAUAAUUGGAUAAAACCCAUCUAUAACAAAUGCACAUAUUAAGACUAAAGACUCGCACAUCACAAAUACAUAUGAUAAGAUUCAAAUAUAGGAACUGGAUAAAACCCAACCAUGAUGAAUGUACAUAUUAGAAUUAGAUAUUCACAUAUCCUAAAUACAUAUGAUGAGACUCAAAAUCUAAAUAUAUCGGUCUUAGUUUGAUUAUUUGAAUCUAGAUCUUAACAUGAUUAGCAAGUUGCUUAAUUUCAACCUUGGGUAUUUUAUUUAAAUCCAUGGACUAAUGGAAAGUUUGAAUUUUUGAAAGAUUUGUAAACAAAGUUGAUGGAUUUUCUUUUGGAAAAAAGUUGAGAAAACGUAGAAUUUUCACAUCUUCUUUCACAAAGGCAAGAGCCUUUUCCUUUUCAUAAGUUUCUUUUUCAUCCUAUAUAUAAGAGAAAUUGACUUUGCUUUAUUACAUUUCAUAUUCAUUUGACUAAGGCAUUAAAAGUUGUAAGCCAAUGAAGAGAACACAGAGGAAGGCUCAUACUGAUAAUAAUAGGAGGCGUGCGGGACCCUUUGCCGGCAGAUUUGGACCGCUCAUUAGGACUCCUCCACCGACACAUUUUUCAUUAUUAUUAUUGACUAUUUCCUUUUUAUUUUCUUCAAUUUCUCUAACCAAUAAAAAUACAAAUGAAUUGAAAAAAGUGUUUUUAUUCAACUAUUAAUUUGAAAUCACAAACCUAUCAUUAUUAGUUUAUGAAAAGUGCAAUAGAAUAUGAUUUUGGAAUAAUAUAUGAUAUUUGUUACAUAUAUUUUAUCAAAGAGGUUGCUCCGAGACUCAAGGGUGAAGUUAGAAAACCUUUUUAAGGGGUCGAAAUUAAACUGUAAUUUUUAGUAUAGUAAAAAUAUAAUUUUAUCAUUUUAAUAGUUUAUAUCUUUAUAAUUUUUAAAGAAUUAAAUUAACUUUUUAUCAUUUAUAGGGAACAAAGUGUAAAUUUAUCUUUACUAAUUUAAAAUUUUAAAAAUUUUAAAGAGUCUAAAUAAAAAAUUUCUCAUUUUAGGGGGCAGGGCCUCUGCCAGCCCCUGUCGAGACCUUGAUUCCCUAAAAUGAAAAAGCAUACUUUUAACUUUUGAAGUUUUAUAAAAAUGUUGCUCCGAGACUUUGACUCCAUAAAAUGGAGAAUUAUACUUUUAACUUUUGAAGUUUGUAAAAGUUUAAGUAAAUAAAUAGUAAAAUUAUAGUUCCCUCAAAUAAUAAAAUUUUAACUCAAUAUUCUAAAAACUACAAAUAUAUAUGCCAAACUACAAAUAUAUAUGCCAAUAUAAUGAUAAAAUUAUAUUUUAACUCUUAUGAAAAUGUAUAACUUAAUUUUAAUCUCUUAGAAAAAAUUUCUAACUUCGGUCAUGUUGUCGACCUAAUGAGAAGAUUUGUGUUAUGCUGCUUGAGUUAGAGACAACUAAUCAAGAGAAAUACGUGGCUUAUGAAGGUCUUGCUUAAAUACCUCUUUGGAGUCAAUGGAGUCGGGACAAUGACCCAACGACCAACUUCCUCCCAUAUCCCAAUCUAGCUCCUCUCCUUCUCGCCUUCUCCCCACGACGUAUUGCAGCUCUGGCCCUAUCGGGUGAACCGCAUUUCUUGACUCCUUCAUCUUCUUACCAUUAUAUCAUCAGUACUUUUUAAAAAGGUUUAAUUGUAGCAAACGUCCUUAAACUAUGCUACAGCAAGUAAAACUAUUACUGAAAUAAUAUACGAGAACAUAUCUCAAUACGUAUACUAAUACAUUGAGAAUUCAAUUAAAAUGCUUUGAAUUUUAAGUACUAAUUUAAAUUAUAAGCAAUAGUUUAAGGGCAUUUAGUGAAAUUAAUACUUUUUUCAAAAUAAAUGAUAUCAUUGCGAUAAUCAAAGGUGAAAUUGUUUCUAAUUAUUCCACAAAUAAUAAACAUAAUUAUUUAAUAUAUUUGAAAUUAUUACAGAAAAAGACCAAAGCAUAUGUUAGGCAAUUGCUUUGUUUAUAUUAGAACAAUAUGAUGGAAAAAGAUUCCUUCUAUUUUAUCUAUAUAUUUAUUUAUUUAUUUCAAGUAGUAGAAAGACUAUUACUUAAUUUUAUUUAAAAAAUUACUUAAUUAGGUUUAGGUUUUGAAUUUUGUCUUUUUUUAUUUGAAUAAGCCCUUAUAUUUGUAUUACAUUCAAAUAAACUCUUAAAUUAGAAUUGAUAUCCGAAUUAGCUCUUAAUCUUUGACUUUAUCAAAAUAACCUACUUUUACACCAAUGGUUUAGCACCCAGAUAAUACGGGCUCAAACCCUAUUAUCCCCCUUCUCCCUCCUCUUAUAUCGUAAUGAUAAAAAAAGCUAUUUGAAACUAUUAAAAGCAUAAGGGUUUAUUUAAAUAAAGUGAAAAAGUUGAAGGACUUAUUUAGUAUUUUAACCCCAAAAUUGAAAAACACCAUCUUUUAGCAAAUUGUUUCAUGUAAAAGGCAAAUAUACAAACAACUUAAAGCUCUUUGAGCAUCUUAUAAUGAGGCUUCUUUGACCUUAGCAAUGUCCCAAUCUACCUAUCCAAACAAUAUCAAAAUUAUAAAUUAAUUAAAAAAUAUAUUUUUAAUUAAUUAUAUAAAUAAUUGAAUGCUUUAAAGACUUACAAGGCCGGUCGGCCUCUAUGUUUUGUUUUUGUUUUUUUUUUUUUAAUGUUUAGGUUGGUUUUUUAUUAAUUUAAAUUUGGUUCUUAUAGUUACAUCCUUUUCCACACAAAGGGAAAUUUGUUUUCCUAUGAUUUGGGUUUAUGAAAAGAAAUAUAUAAUUAUUUUGUAAAGUUGCUUCAUGGUGCAUGCUUUAAUUGGACACCAUUAUUAAUCAUAAUUGCUUUUGAAAUUUUAGGUAGCUUUGGUCCUUCUUUGGAAGAUAUGGAAAUAUAAUAUAUAUAUAUAUAUAUAUAUAUUGUUUUUAAUAUUCAAAAUUAUCAUAUUUGUCUCUUGUAUGUUAAAAUUUUUAUUCCAAAUGUUUAACAUACAAAAAAAUAUACUUCUCAUAUUGAUUGGAAAUUUACAAAAGAUAAUGUAUCUGAAUUACUAUAAGCAGAAUUAGAAAGUACAAAUCGGAUAUAACCUAAACCAAUGGCAGAAUGUGCCAUUGAGUUUUUGAGGGGCUACUUAAAAUUUUUAAAAUUUUCAGGAAUUUAAUUAAAUUUUUUAAAAAUUUUGAGAGGAUUAAGGAGAAUUGUCAAAAUUUUUGAAAGGUCUAAUUAAAAAGUGUAGAACUUUUGGAAGGUUUAUUUAAAAUUUCUAAAAUUUUUAAGGGGGAAUUUAAAGGGCAUAUUGAAAAAUUUUCUAUUUUUUAAAGGGCAAGACCACCUCUAGCUCCAACUACAUUCCACCCCUGACCUAAAUCAAAAUAACUCUGAAUAGGAUCUACACUAACAUGAUAAAUAAACUUCUACAUUGUGAUCAAUCCCUUUCGAGACUUGACUUCUUUAUCACGAGACAUUUUAAAUUUUGAUAAUUUAAGUUUGGAUUCAAAUCCUAACUCUGUGCUUAACCUUGCACGACCUUAGGUCACUAUAUGUGGGUUCAAUUAAUAAACGAUUAAAUGCGCAACAUUAAUAUAAAAUGUAAAAUAUGUGAUUAUGCCACAUUUUUAUUUAAAGUUGAAAUUAUGAAUUAAGAUAGACUGAGUUGUUCCGGCAACGAAAUAUAACAUCUAGCAUUAAAAUCCAGUGAUCAGACCAGGUGUGUGGUGCCAUAUUUGGUUGCUUUUAUCAUAUAGUAGAGGGACCUAAAUCAUAAUUUGACCAUAAAUUUUCAAAUACAUUUUUCAAUUAAUUAUCAUCCAAUAGUGCCCAUGAAAAAAGUAUAAAGCAAAGCCAAGAGAGGUCAUAAAUUAGAAAGAAAGAAGGAUUAGGAGAUGGCCUACAAGGAGUAGAAAUAUUGAAAGGAGAGAUUGAGAUCAAAGCAAGGGUGUCACCAUAAUAUUUUUCUAUUUGUCUAGGUACAUUGCUUGCACUUGCACGACUGUGUGCUAAUUGAGCCCCCCAAUCAACCCUAUUAUCAAAAUUUUAGAUACUUUCUUUAUAUUUUGUCAUCACUCAAGUGGCCGAGUUUGAACUGUAUUUCUUAUGAGAUAUUAUUCGCUGGACUGUUCACGUUUAUCUCCAUGAGGAAAAAGGGAAAAGAAGAACCAAUGGUAAGUUAGAUAAGGUUUUUGGUGUUGAAUAUAUGUGAUAAUUGCCCAAUUAAACCCCACUUAUAGGGGCCAUCGCUUUUAAUUAUUCUCCCCCCAUUUUCUUUUUCUUUUUUGAUCCCUGUAGUUUUUGAAGAUUAUGGAUUUGAUCAUCACUGCCAAGGACUUGGAAAAUCUCCAAAAAGAAAAACAGAACCCUGAAAAUAGGGGUCGGAAGCAAUGGACCCAAAUCAACCUCGGGAAGUUCCUAACUUCGGGGAAAAUUUUUUCCAAGGAUAUGUCACAUUCUUCUUUUCAAGUUCUUAGGCUUCACCAAAUGAAAAUCAUCUAAAAUAUAUGGGGAUGCCAAAUUUGAUAAAAUAAUAAUUUAAUUUAUUUAAAUUCAAGUUAAUUUAAUUUUUUAAUUCUGUAUUUUUAAAAAAAUAGGUUAAAUGUAUGAUUGAUUUGUUGGUUCAUAAAUUUUUUGCCGUUUUACUUUCAUACAGUGAUAUUAUUUUUAGUCAAUAGAGCUAUACACGGAGGAAACUUGUUAUAUGUUUUUAGGGGUAUUAUUUAAUUACAUCUAUCUCAAUAAGUUGUUUACUGAAUCGUUGCAAUUGAUGUUUGAUCUUUAAGAGAGAGGAAAAAUGUUCAAAAAUUGAGUUUUUAUGAUCUGAUUAGUGGAAUAAAUAGUUCAACACUUCACCAACAAACCACAUGUCUAUUGAUAGAGUGAAUUUAUCUAUCCAUACCUUCUAUUAUAUUUAAACAUUUGAUUAAGUUCAUGUUAGUUAUUUAUCUUGUUCUAAUUCGAUUAGAAAAUUAUUAAAAAAUUAUAUUUUUUUACAAAAUAGUAAAUAUUAUUUUUUUUGAUGCUUUUGUAUUUUCUCAAUAACAAAAUAAAUACACAAAAUAAAUUAGCUGCAAGUUGAUUUUAUUUAAUUAGAUGAUUGCUUUUGAGCCCCAAAAGAAAAAAAAAUUCCAACCUUGACUUGUUUUAUAUAGAAAAUUUACCUCUUUUUUUUUAUAAAACCAAAUAAAAUAUUUAAUAUAAAUUAUAAAAUUUAAAACUUUAAAUAAAGAUAAAAAGUAAGAAAAAUCUCAAAGUAAGAAUUUUAUUUAAAUUCAAAACAUCAAACUCGGUUCAAAAUAAUAUUUUUUUGAAAGUUUCACCAGUACUAAAACAAGUACAAAUAUAUGUUCGACUAACUACAAUGUAGAAACUAUCCAAUGCUAUGCGUAGUGGACAAAGAACCAGACAAAAGUCAGAUUAAUCCAGAAAUAAUAUAACCCACACAAGGUAAGAGGGAGACCCACACAUUACAAUUGUAGAUGAUGGCAUUCGAAUAAGGCUCAUGACCUUAACCUUUGCCAACAACGUGAGAGCUUCAUUGACAUUAAAAAUUAAGGGUAAACUACAAUAGUAGUCACCUUACUAUGGUUUUUUUUUUUUUUUGUCAUUCAACUAUAAAAAGUUACAAAAUGGGCACUCAACUAUUCAAUCUUAUUUUUUUGUCAUUCAACUAUAAAAAGUUACAAAAUGGGCACUCAACUAUUCAAUCUUGUUUUUUUGUCACCCAACUAUCUUGGAUUUUUUUUAUGUUUUCAUUUUUACUUUAGCUAGCCGGUGAUAAAAAAAAAUCAUAGUUAAGUAAUUAGUUUAUAAUUUUUCAUAGUUAGGUGAUAAAAAAAGAAAAAAAUUAUAAUUAAAUAACCAUUUUAUAACUUUUUAUAGUUGAUUGAUUAAAAAAUCAUAAUUUAAUGAAUACUUCAUAUAAUUUACCCAAAAAUGAUAAGCGAAGAGACUAUGUAGAGAUUAAAUUCAAAAUUAAUAUAAUUAGGAACUUAUGGCCUAGGGGCCUAAAAUUAAUCUAGUGGGACUCAAUACAUUUGUGGGCCACAUAUGUCAUGAUCAGGCCGUCCAUCCUUCGGACCUCAUCACUUUGAUUCGUUUUUCAUCACAUCUAUCAGAUGGCGUUGACGUGAUGUGUCAUGUAUUGGUACAUAAUUAUAAUGAUUGAUUAUCAUCACCAUGCAAUCCAUUUAUGUGAAAGAUUAAAAACCACAACAAUUUCAAAAUAUUAAAAACUUUCCAUGUCUCAACAUAAUUUAAAAUAAUCUUUUUGGAUUCAUUAAAAAAAAAAACAUAAUCUUUUUAUUUCUUUCUUGGAUUUACAAUUUUAUUUUUUAUUUUUUAUUUUGAGGUAUUUUAAAUAUAUUAAUACGGUUUCUACGUUUUGCCUAAAUUGAUUAAUUGUUUUUAUUAAAUUAUAGAGUAGAAAUUUGAAUGUUAAAAACAUACUCUAAGUGCUUAUAUGCUUUAUACAUUUGAAAUUUAGUAUCUUAAUUUUAUUUAAAAAUUUAAUCUCCUAUUUUUUGAAUUUUAAAUUUCAGGUGCAGUAGUCACCAUCGUUAAUUUUUUUUAACUAAAGUAAAUUCACUGAUAUAACAUUUUAAAAUAAAAUAAUAUUCACUUGACAGCAAUGUAACAAUAAAAAUAAUGUUGAAUCAAAUUAAAUAUUAAGUUUUAGCAGUAUAACAUUAUACAGUAGUAAUGUAACCAGUUAUUCUAGAUAGGUUCCAAAUCAAUUGGUUAGCUUUAUAGUGUGAAGCCUAAAUUAUAGUAAAAUAAAUUGUUACAAGUGACUUGAAAGAGAGCACUUUUUUUUUCUUAUUUUAAUAUCUCACAUGGGUUAGUCGGUGUGUUAUAAAAGGCUAAAAAUAAAUUUUAUUUUAAAAACAAUUAUUUUAAUUUUUAGAGUUUGGACUAAAUUGAUAGAUUUUGUAAAUGUUGAGUGCCAAAAUUGUUGAAUUUUUUAGAAUUAGAACUAAAAUAGAAAAUUUAGUAAACAUGGAGGGCUAAAUUUGUUGAAUUUUUUUUAUAUUUAGGAUCAAAUUGAUGAAAUGUGUAAACAUUAAAGGGCUAAUUUGUUAUUAGACUAAUAAUAAUAAUAAAAAAGUCCACAUCAUCUCAGAGUGACUAAAAUAUUUAAUUUCAAAAAUUUUAGUGACUAGAUCAAAAAAAUUAAUAGUUGGAUGACCAAAACAGAACCAAAAGCAUAGUUGGGUGAACAUUUCUAUAAUUUACCUAUAAAAUUUUUUAAGCAUGGAUUUAAUGUUCCAUAUCAUUAUUUAAGAGAUAAAAUUUAACGGAGGGUUAAUUUACACAUUUUGAAAUGUAUAACGAUUAUUUUACUUAUUUUUCAGUAGACGGACUGAAAUACAAUUCAGAGCAUCCCUGAUACUUUUACCAAUAAUUACCUAAAUUGAAAUUUUAUAGCAUCUUUCAUUUUUUUUGGUUACAUAAUUAGGGGAGAAGUUAUAAAUUUUUUUGGAUCAAAAUUAAAUUACACAAUUUUUGAUUGAGUCAAAAUAUAAUGUUAUUAUAUUAACUUUAAUUUUCAAAACCUCUAAAAGAAUUAAACUAAAUAUAUUUUUUUCUUUUCUUAAAGAAAAUAAAAAAAAAAAUUUCAUUUUUGAUGGCAAGAUUUAUACCUCAUCUUUUAACAUUGGUCCAAUACAUAACAAAAAAAUAUAUUGCGCUGAAGUUGAUAUCUUUGCGUUAACAUAGUAAGUUUGUGUUAACUUAAUACUACUUGCGAAAUAAUUUAGUUGACGAAUACAAUUUUAGGGAUCAACUAAAUAUAAAUAGAUAAAUUUAAGGACCAAAAACUAUAUUAACCCCUAAAAACAAGUUUAAAUAUUACAUCACAUGUACAAAGAAAUGUCGGCAAACCCUUCUUUUGCCGCUACUCAUUUCUAAGUUGACGUAUAUAUUAUGAUUUAUUGUAAUAAUAAAAAGAAUAAUCAUGAUUUACUUAUACUUUAAUAAUAAUAAUAAAAGCUCCAUUAGCACUUUUGGCAUUAAUCAAAAAUAAAUCUUGCCUCCUAAUUUGAGAACAAUUUCUUUAAUAAGUUAACAUUGAUGUAGGUGUAUAAUUUUAUAGUAAAUUAAAUAAUAAUGCAUAAUUAAAAAUAAAAAUUAUGUAUUGAUUGAAUCUUAGCUUAAUUGGUAUGAGUAGUAUUGUUAAUGUAAAAGGACGAACAUGAAUUCGAAUGCACUGAAACAUAUUAUCCUCCUAUUUAUGAGGUUAACGAGGGACUAUGGGUAAUUCAAAAAAUAAAAUUAUUACAUUAUAAUAAUGCAAAGUUUCAACUUGGAGGGCCCAAAAUUUUAAUUGUGGUAAAUGUGUGCAUUGACAAAUCUUGGUUACUAUUUUGAAAUUUUCAAUGGAGUUCUAGAAAUUGAAUUUUAUAUUAUUGUUAAACUGAAUUAAAAGUGUUGAGAAUCAAAUAAGUAAAUAUGUGAGUUAAUGAUAACUCUUUAUUUUGCUUAGUUGAAAAUGAUGACUUUCUUUGAUCUAAUUAACCACUUAAUCAUUCAACACAAAAAAUUUAAGAAGUUUAAACAAA
rnacentral:lncRNA from 1 species